AUAAAAAUCAAUCUGAUUUAUUUCGUACCCCUCGCUCAAUGAGAAAAUGGGUCAGAUUCUAUAGGAUCAAACCUAUGGGACUUAGGGAAUGAUGGAAGGGAAUAAAAUAAAAAAAAAGAAAUCAAAAAAAGAGGGGAAAAAAAUAAUAAAAAUAAUAAAUAAGUAAAUAAAAAUGAAGUAGAAGAACCCAGAUUCCAAAUGAACAAAUUCAAACUUGAAAAGGAUCUUUCUGAUUCUCGAAGAAUGAGGGGCAAAGGGAUUGAUCGAGAAAGAUCUCUUGUUCUUAUUAUAAGAUCGUGUGAUUGGAUCCGCAGAUGUUUGGUAAAAAAAAUCUUCUCUUUUGAGAAUAAUCAAAAAUGGAAAGUGUUCAAUUGGAACAUGAAAACGUGACUGAAUUUGUCCUAGUUACUCUUCGGGCUCUGAUGGUCAAAAGUGUUUAUCAUUUUAAGUAUGAUCUAGAUUUGAGUCGCGCUAGUCACAUUGUUCGAGUUUACAUUUAAAAAAAAAUUAUGAAAUCAGAAAACUUAAAAUUCUUCAAAUUUGAAUUUUGGAUGUCACUCCCUUCGUCAAUCGCAGAUGCGCGUCAUAAACACAUUCUCAAAGGAGCGUGACCUUGUGAAAGCACUAAUUUGCUAAAAAUAUUAGCUAGCUAUCCGCGUCUAGAACACGAAUAUAAUACGUUGCUUCAUCCCACUGGUUGCAAGUAAGCCCUUUUUCGUAAUUUGGCUUGUGAAUUAGGCCUAUAAAUUAAGGGCAAUCGGGAACAGCAAUUCCCAUCUUAUAAUCAAAACCAAUCUAAUUUCAAAGCUUCAAGGUAAUUAUUCAUCUCUUUUCUCUUAUUGUUUUUAGUUUUUGUUUGCAUUUUUGUAGUUUUAAUUUUGAUUUUUUUAGUUUGUUCCAUGAGUGAGAUGAAUCUGUGAUUAGAGAUUUUUCCCCUUUUCAAGUUUUAUGGGUUUUUUCUAUUUAAAUCAACACCAUAUCGUGUAUAUCUUUUCGGUUUCAUUAUUCAUAGUCUCUAAAUUAGUAAUGAUUUUUUUUAUUUGUUGAAUUGUUUGCUGAAUCUUACGAACUAAGGUUAGGGAUUUUCCUCUUUUCAGUUUUAGGGUUUUCUUUUCAACCGUAGAUUUUUUUUAAUUUAAAUUAGAUUCUUUGAUCUGAUUGGAUUUUUUAGGCAUAAAAUUUAGAGUCUUGUCACUAUUAUUUUCAGAAGUGCGAAAUUGUUUUGAAUGUAUCAAAACAAUCAGAAUAGUUUUAGAUUACCUAGGAAUCUCGAUCUUCCCAGAUAUCAUUCAAUAGGAUUUUUUUUUUUGUGAAAUAGAUGAUAUGUGGGCCUGGUUGUAGAAAUAUUUUAUAUUUUAUUUGUUUUAGUUAGUAGUAGUCUUAUUUGAGUUUUGUUUUUAAUUCAAAUAGAUGCAAAUUUUCGUCAAGACCCUCACCGGCAAGACCAUCACCCUUGAGGUGGAAAGCUCCGACACCAUCGAUAAUGUCAAGGCCAAGAUCCAAGAUAAAGAAGGAAUCCCACCAGAUCAACAGAGGCUUAUCUUUGCUGGUAAGCAGCUAGAGGAUGGUCGUACACUUGCUGACUACAACAUUCAGAAGGAGUCCACCCUCCACUUGGUCCUUCGUUUGAGGGGUGGUAUGCAAAUCUUUGUUAAGACCCUCACCGGCAAGACUAUCACCCUCGAGGUGGAAAGCUCGGACACCAUUGAUAAUGUCAAGGCCAAGAUCCAAGACAAAGAAGGGAUCCCUCCAGACCAGCAGAGACUUAUCUUUGCCGGUAAGCAACUAGAAGAUGGCCGUACCCUGGCUGAUUACAACAUCCAAAAGGAGUCCACCCUCCAUUUGGUGCUCCGCCUUCGUGGAGGAAUGCAAAUCUUUGUUAAGACCUUGACCGGAAAGACAAUUACUUUGGAGGUUGAGAGUUCAGAUACCAUUGACAAUGUCAAGGCUAAGAUCCAGGACAAGGAGGGUAUUCCGCCAGACCAGCAGAGGUUGAUCUUUGCUGGUAAGCAAUUAGAAGAUGGUCGCACCCUGGCUGACUACAACAUCCAAAAGGAAUCCACCCUCCAUUUGGUGCUUCGUCUUCGUGGUGGUAUGCAAAUAUUUGUGAAGACUCUUACCGGAAAGACCAUUACUUUGGAGGUUGAGAGUUCAGAUACCAUUGACAAAGUCAAGGCUAAGAUCCAGGACAAGGAGGGUAUUCCCCCAGACCAACAGAGGUUGAUCUUUGCCGGUAAGCAACUUGAAGAUGGCCGCACUCUCGCUGAUUACAACAUCCAAAAGGAAUCCACCCUCCACUUGGUGCUUCGUCUUCGUGGUGGUAUGCAGAUUUUUGUGAAGACUCUUACCGGGAAAACCAUCACCUUGGAAGUUGAGAGCUCCGACACUAUUGACAAUGUCAAGGCCAAAAUCCAGGACAAGGAAGGUAUCCCUCCAGACCAACAGAGGUUGAUUUUCGCGGGUAAGCAGCUUGAGGAUGGCAGGACACUUGCAGACUACAACAUUCAAAAGGAGUCGACCCUCCAUUUGGUUCUUCGUCUUCGUGGUGGGAUGCAAAUUUUUGUGAAGACAUUGACAGGAAAGACCAUCACUUUGGAAGUUGAAAGCUCGGACACUAUUGAUAAUGUCAAGGCCAAGAUCCAAGAUAAGGAAGGAAUCCCCCCAGACCAGCAGAGGUUGAUCUUCGCAGGGAAGCAACUUGAAGAUGGAAGGACCUUGGCAGACUACAACAUCCAGAAGGAAUCGACUCUGCACCUUGUCCUCCGCCUUCGCGGUGGUUUCCGAAUGGUCUUUUGAAGAAGUGUCUUUUAUGAUGGGGUUCAACAUUAUGUUUCUAGUUUUAUGUUUGUCUAAUUAAGCCUGCUGUGAUGCAGUGGCUAAAUGCUACAAGUUAUAAUUUGUAUAAACCCUUUUUUAGUUCUCUGCUUAUGUUUAAGGUUUCAUGGCUGCCAGCACUUUGGUCAUUGAAAUAAUUUAUCAUAUAAAGUUUCUAAGCUAUCAUAUGCCCUCUCCCUUUCUAUUUUUAAAUUUUGGUUCCGUUCUGGUGCUUGUUUGAUUUGUUUCUUUUGAGCAUGAUAUCUUUUGAUAACCAUGAUUAUGAGUUUUGAUAUGGUUUAAUAAAUUUGAUGGGGUCAAGGGUUCAAAUAUAAAUUUGAUGUAGGUUAUUCUUUUUUAAACAUUAAUCUCUUAAAUGUAUAGAAUAUGAUUUUACAAUUGUUGCACAAAUGCUAAUGUAAAUAAAAAGUCGCAAUUCGUGAUAUCUAAAUUUCUAAAAUAUUUGCUUUUCAUUCUACAAAAAGCAAGCAGCAUUAUCGAAACAGACUGUGGUGACCUAAUCGUUCUCUCAGUGACCGGAAUAUCUCGAGCAAUCGAACUGGAUUUUCUUCAAUUUUGUUCAGAAUUGUUCAAUCUUGUAUUUGAUUUUUAUGUAUUUCAGGCAGAUACAUAUAUUAAUUAAUUUCAUUUUCAUAUUUUCUCAUGUCAGGAUUUUGCCCGUUGAAUCAUUGAAAACAUCGAUGGAUACACAGGUAGUACUCUCGAAGUAUACAAAUAAAAAACCUGUCAAUUCAUAUUCAGGAGUGCUCCUUAAAGCACAUAAUCGGGAAAUCCUCUCUCAAGCCAUAUAACAGGAAGCUCACAAAGAGCCUAUCUGGAAGCUUAUCCGAAUUAUAUAACAGGAAGCUCAUAAGAGCCAUAAUCAGGAAGUUCACAAAGAACUUUUAAUCAGGAAGCUUACGAAGAGCCUUUAAUCAAGAGCUCCGGAUAGCCAUAUAUCGGGAAGUACAAGCGAGUCAUAUCAGGACACUCAUAAAGAGCUGAGGUAUGUCCGCAUUAUAUGCAGGAUCCUUAUCGAUUAUAUAACAAAACGCUCACAAAGAGCUGCAAUAUAUCCGCAACACAUGCAGGAUUAAUACUGAUCAGGAUGCUCGCAGGAACCAUAUAAUAGGAAGCUCGAGAGGGCUUAUAACAGAUGCUCGUAAGAGCUAUGGUGUGUCCACAACAUAUGCAGGACCACAACCAAUACGGGAAAUCCUGUAUCCAUCGAAUUUCAUUUAUUCAAACGGGACUUAACGUUUAUCGGGUAUUAUCAGAUAUGUGACUGAUUUUCAUACAUAAGAUAUUUAUACAAUUCACACAUAUACAACAUUCAAUUCAAACAUAUUAAUAUACAUAAUUUAGUUACACAAACUUACCUCGAUCAUUAUUCGUGUUCGUAGGCUACUAAUCCAAUACUUUUUGUUUUCCUCGAUCCAACUUCUUAUUUGAUCUUUCCGGAUCUAUAUAAAUGAAUUUAACAUCAAUUAAACACAUUUCAUAUCCAAUUCAAUCCAAUUCACAUCUUAGGCAAAAGUACCAUUUUCCCCUAUACUUUUGAUUAAUUCCAAUUUCAUCCCUAGGCUCGGAAAAUAAAAUUCAUGCAAUUUAAUCAUUAUUCCAAGUCUAGCUGAUUUUUACAUGUAAAAUUUACAGCCCAUGUAUUUCAUAAAAUUCAUAAUUUUUCCAUGAAUUUUCCAUUUUUUCAAUUUAAUUCCUAAAUCAUGAUUUCAUUAAAAUUCCCUUUACAAAAGUUGUUUAUCUAUUAACAACCUUUCAUUUUUUACCAUAAAACUUUAUAAUUCAUCUAUGUUCAUCCAUGGCAAAACCCUAGUACCUUGAUAAUUUUGCAAAUUAAUCCCCGAGAUAGCUAGAUUAAGCUAUUAUGAUCUCGGAAAUAUAAAAAUCAUUAAAAACGGGCAAGAAUACUUACCUAAUCAAGCAAAAUAAGUUGGCUUGAGCUUAGGUUUCCAUGGCUAGGGUUUCCAUGCUUUUAAUUUGGGAAAGAUGAUAUAAAUGAUGAUAUUUUUAUUUAUUUUUUAUCAUUUAUUAUCUUUUAUUAUUUCACUUUCCAAUUUCAUCCUUUUCUUUAUUCUAUUUUUCAUAGAUGAAUCAUCAUCCUUAACAACCAAGCAUUUUUAAUGGUCUAUUUUUCAUAUAAGGACCUCAAAUUUUUAAUUUCAUAGCUAUUUAAUCCUUUUAGCUAUUAGAACUCAACUUUUGCACUUUGUGCAAUUUGGUCCUUUAUCAAAUUAAACAUGUAAUCGGUAAAAUUCAUUUACGAAAUUUUUAUACCACAUUACUAUCAUACUAUAGACCAUAAAAUAAUAUUAAAAAUAAAUUUUCUUUCGAAAUCGAAUUUGUGGUCCCGAAACUACUGUUUCGAUUUUACUGAAAACGGGCUGUUACAAGUUGAUUUCGAUGUGGCUCACCGUCCUUGAACGAGUGACUUAAAUCGCUUCAAUUACUAAGUGGCUCCAUUUUAUCUUUCGAUCUCAAUUUUACCGACUUAGACGAAUUAAUCUAAUUUAACUCUCGAUCUCACCGGUUAAUCCGAGACUAAUGAAUUUGUGCGUAACAAGAUUACCUCUCGGUCUCACUUGCCUAGAUAUUCCUUUGGGGGGGUCACUUCCUAAGAUUUUAGCUCUAUUCGAUUUAGUCCAAUUUAUUAUGAGUUAGUCUUUUGUCCAAAAAUUAGCUUACCCACAUAUCUAUCAACCAACCCCCUUUUAGGUUUAGCUACUCAUGCUGAAUGUAACAACCCAGUUUGACUCUAAUCGGAAUAGUGGUUUCGGGACUACAAAUCUGAAUUAGAAAAAUAUUUUUAUAUUAUUUUUUGUGUUUAUUAUGUGUGAAUUUACUAGUGUGAAACUUUCGUGCUUUAAUUUCGCCGUUUGAGUGUCCGAUUAAAUAAAAGGAUUAAAUCGCAUAAAAUGAAAAUUUAGGGGUUAAAUCUAAAAGCACCCAAUUGUUGUUGUCUUUCAAAAAUAGGGGUUUUAAAUGACAAUUAAGCCAUUUAGAUGAUAGUGGGUGGCAAUGGUCAACAUUGCCCUUAUAUUAUAUGUUUUAUAAUUUAUUUAUUUAAGGUUAAAUUUGUAAACUAAAAUUUAUGCUAAUAUAUUUUAAAUUAAAACAUAAAAAAAGGUCAUUUUUCAUCUUUCUUGGCCGAAUAUAGAAAAUAAAGAAUUCAUCCAUGCUUGUUAAAGUUUCGGCACAAAACUAGCUUGAUUAAAGGUAUGUUUUACUUCGGUUUUUGAUAAUUUUUACGUUUUUGAGAUCGUUGCUUUGUGUUCUUCAAAACCCAUAUCUUAAUUUUGUGAAUUGUGGAUGAUUUUGAAAUGUGCCAUUGAUGAAUGCUUGAGUUUUAUGAUGUUAGUCGGUGAAAUAUGAAAUAUAUUUGUUAGAUUAAUAUGUUUUGUAUUGGAAUUUUUAGUGAAAUUGAGUAAAUAGGGCUAAAUUGUAAAAUUAAAUUUUUGAGGGACUAAAGUGUGAAAUAAAUGCAACGUGUGGACUUGUAUGAGAACCAUGAAUAUUCGGCCCUUGUGUGGUAUGGGCAAAUUUUGUGUAAAUUGUGUUUUAUGCAAUAAGGAGUAAAUUGCAAAAAGUGUGAAUAUUAGGGGCAAAAUAGUAAUUUUCCAAAUUAUGUGUUUUUGGAUUAAAUUGAAUGUGUUAAUAAAUAAAUUAUCUUAUUUUGAAUAUAUUUAGAUCAAGAACCAAAGAAAUCAGAGUUAGAUCGGGGAAAAGCCAAAUUAGUCGAAUAAUCGUCCGACUUCGAUUUUCCAUCGUCCGAGGUAAGUCUAUUAGCAAUUAAAAGUUAUUAAAUUAAUAUUUAUACAUGUAUACUAAUUUUAUUAUGUGUUGAGCUAUAAUUAAAAGUAUAUUGAUUGAAUAAAUUUUGAAGUAUGGAUGAUAUUUAUAUAUAUAUAGCAUGUUCGAAUAUACAAGUAAAAUCUUGUAUAGAUUUAUGGUUGAAAUAAAGGUAAGAAAUGUAUAAAAGUAUAGUUGAUAUUCGAAUAAGCAUGUAUAUAUAUAUGUAAAUCGCUUGUAUUGAAUUUAGGUAAGAAAGAUAUAUAUGCAUAUGUUAGAUUCGAAUAUAUAUAUAUGUAAAUACAUGAACAAGUCUUGAAAUUAGAUAAAGGUAUGAGUAUGUAUAUAUAUAUAUAUAUUGCUAGAAUAUAUAUAUAUACAUAUAUAUAAAAGUUAUUGAAAUUAGUUAAAGUAUGAAUGUUGCAUAGAUAUUCAUUCUUGAUUUUAAUCAAAGGUAUGUAUAAUAUAUAUAUAGUGCGAAUAUAUAUAUAGGUAUAUACAUGUAUAAACUCUUGGAUUUAUUUAAAGUUAUGUAACCCAUGAUUGUAUGAGAAGUUUCGAAUAGAUAUGUAUAUGUGAAUUGUAAUUUAUAUGUAUAUGCUAUAUUUGAAAAAGUAUGCUUACAUAUAUGUAUAUGUUCUUGUAAUGAAUUUUAAGUAUGAGUGUUAUAUAUAUAUAUGCAUAUGUGUGAGGUUCGAAUAUAUAAUUAUGCAUAUAUAUAUUUGCGUACAGGUAUAAUUUCUUGUAUUGAAAUUAGGUAUGGAAUUAUAUAUUGAUAUAUAUAUGGUCGAAUGUAUAUGUAUAUAUGUUUAAGGUUUGCAUUGGAUUAAAAGUAUAAAUUGUAAAUGCUUGUAUGAUUCGAACAAGGAUUAUAAAUUUUCUUGGGAUAGAGUUGAGGAUGUGAAUUAUACAUAAAUGUUAUGAACGUGUGUUGCUAUUAAGAAAUAUACGAGAAAUCAUCCUUGUAUCUGUGAAAUUGAAAUUUUUAAGCUAAGCGCCUAGCAGGCUAAAUGCCGGUGAAUUUUUCAGACUAUAAAUCUAGCAGGCUAAGUGCCGGUGAUCGGAAUCAGGUUAUAAACCUAGCAGGCUACGUGCCGGUGAUAUGAAUUAGGCUAUAAGCCUAGCAGGCUAAGUGCCGGUGAAUAUGUUAAAUUAUGUGAUUAUAUGCAUUAGAUAGAUAUAUAAAUAUAACUGAUUUUGGGUUAUAUAUAUAAUGAAUAAGUAUAUGAAUAUUUAUUUAUAUGUAAUCGAUGAGCUUAUAAAUGUUUCAAUCUAUAAGUUUAGUGAAUAGGCAUAUAUACAUUGGUUGAUAUGAAAAUUGUUGAAUAUACUUGUACGAAAUCGGCACAUGUGGAUUAGAAGUAUAAAUGUGCAUAUGAUUCAUGUAGUUUAUAAGUGGAAAUAUAAGUUUUUGACAUAUGUUUUUGAAAGAUCAUAAACAAGCAUUGAGUGAAAUGCAAAUGAUAAGUAUAUUUGGAAUAUAUAUAUGCAAUUAAUGAUUAUGUAUGUAACUUGAUUUUUUUGGUAUAUAAUGAUUAUACAUAUGAUCGUUUAUAUGUAUUUUAGUUAUGCUAUAAACUUACUAAGCUAUAAAAGCUUACUUUGAUUGUUUUUGUUCAUUUGUUUUAUAGAUUUUGGAGACGCGUUAUGAGCUCGGGGAUCAUCAGCAUAGUCUAUCACACUAUCGACUUCUUUUGGUAUUUUGUUAACAGUUUGAACUUGAUCUUAUGGCAUGUAUAGGUUUGAGUAUGAUUUUGGUUAGAUUUGGAUUGUAUAUAUAUAGCAACGCGAAAAUGGUUUAAUUUCCAUGUUUGUGAUCAGUUUGGUUUUAAAAAUGGUUGUGUUUAUUCGGUAAUGCCUCGUAACCCUAAUUCGGCGACGGAUACGGGUUAAGGGUGUUACAUUUUAUUGGUAUCAGAGCUACGGUUUAGUCGAUUCUCGGACUAACGUAGUGUGUAUGAGUCUAGCUAUACAUGCCAUAAUUUUUUACUGAGAUAGUGUGAUGACUGCUGACGUAUAAAAAUGUGUUUUCGUAUAGUAAUGGAUCCCGAACGAGCCGUAGCCGAUGAUGCUGAGAGUAUAGCACCUGCUCCCGCGCAAGAGACAGAGCCAGUAGAUUCUCGACCGACCUUGAGUAACCAUGAGGGAGAGGCUAAACAAGCCUUUUACAAAAUGAUGAAUGACUGGUUAACUCAAUAUGUCCGAACAAAUUCGGUUGUACAAUGACCUCCACCCCCGACUAAUCCAUCUUCGGUUCCUGUUAUACCUCAAGUAAGUGAUCUGAUGAGAUUACUUAAACCUCCUGUUGAUAAAAUUUAAAAACACGGGGCCGAAGAGUUCAGAGCUACUGAUGAUGGUGAUGCUGAGUGAGCUGAAUUCUGGCUAGAUAAUACUAUUCGAGUAUUUGAUGAGUUAUCUUGCACCCCUGACGAGUGCUUGAAGUGUGCCAUAUCCUUGCUACGGGAUAUUGUAUAUCACUGGUGGAAUACACUAGUAUCGGUGGUUCCGAAAGAGCGAGUGACCUGGGAAUUCUUUCAGACUGAAUUCCGUAAGAAAUAUAUUAGCCAGAGAUUCAUUGAUCAGAAACGUAAGGAUUUUCUUGAAUUGAAACAAGGUCGGAUGACAGUGACAGAAUAUGAGCGGAAAUUUGUGAGACUUAGUAGAUAUGCUCGAGAGUGUGUUUCGACUGAAGCUAUUAUGUGUAAAAGAUUUGAAGAUGGGCUGAAUGAAGAUAUUAAACUGUUAGUUGGCAUACUUGAGAUAAAGGAGUUCGUAGUACUUGUUGAACGAGCUUGUAAAGCCGAGGAGCUCGGGAAAGAGAAGAGAAAAGCUGACUAUGAAGCUCGAGAUUCCUGUAAAAGAUCAUUUAGUAAAUCGUUCCAGUCGGCCUCAAGGAAAUCCAGAGAGGAUCAUAGCCAAUCUAAAGCUACUACAGGGUUUCCUAAGUAUGAUCGAGAUCGACCCCCUGUGAGUUCGCGUGCUACUUCAGUUGCUAGUGUUGGUAGUGUUCGACAAAAUAGAUCAGAAUGCAAGCAUUGUGGGAAAUGGCAUCCUGGAGAUUGCAGAUUACAUGAUCGAUCUUGCUUUAAGUGUGGUUCAAAGGAUCAUUUCAUUCGAGAGUGUCCGAUGGUAGCUGAUCAAAAUACUGUACAGAAUACCAGACCGAGUAAUAUGUCAGUAUGGGGUAGACCGCCAAGGCAUUUGGGUAAUGUAAGUGGUAGUCAGAGAGGGACAAAGGACACAGCAGUUCGAUCUGAGGCUCGUGCACCUGCCAGAGCAUAUGCUAUCCAAGCUUGAGAGGAGGCUUCUUCUCCAGAUGUUAUUACUGGUACUUUCACUCUUUAUGAUACUAAUGUCAUUGCGUUGAUUGAUCCUGGUUCGACUCAUUCUUAUGUGUGUGAGACCUUAGUAUUCAGUAAGACUCUACCUGUUGAGUCUACUGAGUUUGUAAUUAAAGUAUCAAACCCCCUGGGCCGGUGUGUGUUGAUUGACAAAGUGUGUAAGAAUUGUCCGUUGAUGAUUCGAGAUUUGUGUUUUAUGGCUGAUUUGAUGUUGUUGCCAUUUGACGAGUUUGACAUAAUUUUGGGUAUGGACUGGUUGACUUUACACGAUGCUGUGGUUAACUGCAAAAGGAAGACUAUUGAUUUAAGAUGCCUGAAUGACGAGAUUAUUCGGAUUGAAUCUAAUGAUCUGAAUGGUUUAUCGGCAGUGAUAUCCUCUAUGUUGGCUCAGAAGUAUGUGAGAAAAGGUUGUGAAGCUUAUCUUGCAUAUGUUCUUGAUAGUAAAGUGAUAGAAAAGAAGAUUGAAUCAGUACCUAUUGUAUGUGAGUAUCCAAAUGUGUUCCCUAAAGAAUUACCGGGUUUACCACCUAUUCGAGAAGUAGAGUUUGGUAUUGAGUUAGUACCGGGGACGACUCCAAUUUCGAUAGCUCCAUACCGUAUGGCACCGACCGAAUUAAAAGAAUUGAAAGCACAGUUGCAGGAGUUGACUGAUAAAGGUUUUGCACGACCGAGUUUCUCUCCUUGGGGGGCACCCGUUCUAUUUGUGAGAAAGAAAGAUGGAACGAUGAGAAUGUGCAUUGAUUAUCGACAACUCAAUAAGGUGACUAUAAAGAAUAAGUAUCCUUUACCACGGAUUGAUGAUUUGUUCGAUCAGUUGAAAGGGGCUACUGUGUUCUCGAAGAUAGAUUUGAGAUCAGGCUACUAUCAAUUAUGAGUUAAAGACUCUGAUGUGCCAAAGAUUGCUUUUCGAACGAGGUACGGACAUUAUGAGUUUCUUGUUAUGCCUUUUGGACUUACUAAUGCACCUGCUAUUUUCAUGGAUUUGAUGAAUCGGAUCUUUAGACAGUAUCUGGAUCGGUUUGUAGUAGUAUUUAUAGAUGACAUUUUGAUCUACUCUCGUGACGAAACUGAGCAUGCCGAACAUCUGGGACUUGUGUUACAAACUUUGCGAGAUAAAUAGUUGUAUGCAAAGUUUAGUAAAUGUGAGUUCUGGUUACGGAAAGUCGGUUUUCUAGGCCAUGUUGUAUCAGCAUCGGGUAUACGGGUUGAUCCGAGUAAAAUUUCAGCUAUACUUGAUUGGAAACCUCCGAAAAAUGUCUCAGAAGUUUGAAGCUUUCUAGGGCUCGCUGGUUAUUAUAGACUGUUCGUGAAAGGGUUCUCAAUGAUUGCGACCCCGAUGACAAAGUUAUUACGAAAAGACGUUAAGUUUGAGUGGUGAGAAAAGUGUCAAGAGAGCUUUAAUCAGUUGAAAGUUCUUUUGACCGAAGCUCCAGUCUUAGUUCAGCCAGAAUCGGGUAAAGAGUUUGUUAUCUAUAGUGAUGCAUCUUUAAAUGGUUUGGGCUGUGUUUUGAUGCAGGAAGGCAAAGUUGUAGCCUAUGCCUCGAGGCAGUUAAAGCCGCAUGAAAAGAACUAUCCAACGCACGAUCUGGAAUUAGCCGCUACUGUAUUUGCGUUGAAAAUAUGGCGCCACUAUCUGUUUGGUGAAAAAUGUCAUGUUUAUUCCGAUCACAAAAGCCUGAAGUAUUUGAUGACUCAGAAGGAUCUGAAUUUGAGACAGCGCCGAUGGUUAGAAUUGCUAAAAGGUUACGAGCUUGUUGACUAUCAUCCGGGAAAGGCUAAUGUUGUUGCUGAUGCCCUAAGUCGAAAAUCAAUGUUUGCUUUGCGUGCAAUGAACGCGCAUAUGACUAUGUCUGAUGAUGGUGCGAUAGUAGCUGAGUUGAAAGCAAAACCGUUAUUUGUUCAACAGAUUUGUGAAGCUCAGAAAGUCGAUAAUAAUUUAAUUGCAAAACGAGCUCAGUGUGACUUAAAUGUUGAUUCAGAGUUUCUAGUUGAUGCUGAGGAUUGUUUGAGAUUCAGAAACCGAUUAUGUGUUUCGAAAAAUUCAGAGUUAAUUCAAAUAAUUUUGAACGAAGCUCAUAAUGGUCGAUUUUCUGUUCAUCCGGGUAGCACGAAAAUGUAUAAUGAUCUGAAACAGCAUUAUUGGUGGCAUGGUAUGAAACGAGACAUUUCUAACUUUGUUUCGAAAUGUUUAAUAUGUCAACAAGUAAAACCCGAGCAUCAAGUACCAUCUGGAUUGCUUCAGCCGAUCAUGAUACCUGAAUGGAAAUAGGAUCGAGUUACGAUGGAUUUUGUAUCCGGUUUACCGUUGACACCGAGCAAGAAAGAUACAAUUUGGGUUAUUGUUGAUAGGUUGACAAAAUCGGCACACUUUAUUCCGAUUCGCACGGAUUUCCCACUCGAUAAACUUGCUGAAUUGUAUGUUUCUCAAAUUGUGAGAUUGCAUGGUGUGCCUAUUUCUAUUGUUUCAGACAGAGAUCCGAGAUUCACAUUGCGAUUUUGGAAGAAACUACAAGAUGCUUUAGGUACGAAACUACAUUUUAGCACAGCUUUCCAUCCGCAGACAGAUGGUCAAUCCGAACGAAUCAUUCAGAUACUUGAGGAUAUGUUGAAAUGUUGCAUUCUCGAGUUUGAAGGUACGUGGGAACGAUACUUACCUUUGAUUGAAUUUGCUUAUAAUAAUAGCUUUCAAUCUAGUAUCAAAAUGGCACCUUACGAGGCUUUAUACGGUCGUAAAUGUCGUACACCAUUGUAUUGGACCGAGCUCAGUGAAAAUAAGAUACACGGGGUUGAUUUGAUUAAAGAGACUGAACAGAAAGUAAAAGUGAUUCGAGAUAGUCUGAAAUCAGCAUCGGAUCGUCAGAAAUCUUAUGCGGAUUUGAAAAGAAAGGAUAUAGAAUUUCAGAUCGGAGAUAAAGUGUUUUUGAAAGUCUCACCGUGGAAAAAAAUAUUCAGAUUCGGUCGUAAAGGUAAAUUGAGUCUGAGAUUCAUUGGACCGUAUGAGAUUAUAGAGCGUGUUGGACCGGUUGCUUAUAGAUUGACGUUACCGCCUGAGUUAGAAAAGAUUCAUAAUGUAUUUCAUGUUUCGACGCUCCGUAGAUACUGAUCUGAUCCUUCACAUGUGAUUAGUCCGAUGGAGAUUGAAAUUAACUCUGAUAUGUCAUAUGAAGAAGAACCGAUUAGCAUUCUAGCUCAUGAGAUCAAAGAAUUACGAAAUAAGAAAAUUCCGUUAGUUAAAGUAUUGUGGCAUAAACAUGGAGUUGAAGAAGCAACUUGGGAGUCAGAAGAUACAAUGAAAGAGCGUUAUCCAAACCUAUUCACCGGUAAGAUUUUCGAGAACGAAAAUCCCUAAGGGGGGAGAGUUGUAACAACCCGGUUUGACUCUAAUCGGAAUAGUGGUUUUGGGACCACAAAUCUGAAUUAGAAAAAUAUUUUUAUAUUAUUUUCUGUGUUUAUUAUGUGUGAAUUUACUAGUGUGAAAAUUUUGUGCUUUAAUUUUGCCAUUUGAGUGUCCGAUUAAAUAAAAGGAUUAAAUCGCAUAAAAUGAAAAUUUAGGGGUUAAAUCUAAAAGCACCCAAUUGUUGUUGUCUUUCAAAAAUAGGGGUUUUAAAUGACAAUUAAGCCAUUUAGAUGAUAGUGGGUGGCAAUGGUCAACAUUGCCCUUAUAUUAUAUGUUUUAUAAUUUAUUUAUUUAAGGUUAAAUUUGUAAACUAAAAUUUAUGCUAAUAUAUUUUAAAUUAAAACAUAAAAAAAGGUCAUUUUUCAUCUUUCUUGGCCGAAUAUAGAAAAUAAAGAAUUCAUCCAUGCUUGUUAAAGUUUCGGCACAAAACUAGCUUGAUUAAAGGUAUGUUUUACUUCGGUUUUUGAUAAUUUUUACGUUUUUGAGAUCGUUGCUUUGUGUUCUUCAAAACCCAUAUCUUAAUUUUGUGAAUUUUGGAUGAUUUUGAAAUGUGCCAUUGAUGAAUGCUUGAGUUUUAUGAUGUUAGUCGGUGAAAUAUGAAAUAUAUUUGUUAGAUUAAUAUGUUUUGUAUUGGAAUUUUUAGUGAAAUUGAGUAAAUAGGGCUAAAUUGUAAAAUUAAAUUUUUAGGGGACUAAAGUGUGAAAUAAAUGCAACGUGUGGACUUGUAUGAGAACCAUGAAUAUUCGGCCCUUGUGUGGUAUGGGCAAAUUUUGUGUAAAUUGUGUUUUAUACAAUAAGGAGUAAAUUGCAAAAAGUGUGAAUAUUAGGGGCAAAAUAGUAAUUUUCCAAAUUAUGUGUUUUUGGAUUAAAUUGAAUGUGUUAAUAAAUAAAUUAUCUUAUUUUGAAUAUAUUUAGAUCAAGAACCAAAGAAAUCAGAGUUAGAUCGGGGAAAAGCCAAAUUAGUCGAAUAAUCGUCCGACUUCGAUUUUCCAUCGUCCGAGGUAAGUCUAUUAGCAAUUAAAAGUUAUUAAAUUAAUAUUUAUACAUGUAUACUAAUUUUAUUAUGUGUUGAGCUAUAAUUAAAAGUAUAUUGAUUGAAUAAAUUUUGAAGUAUGGAUGAUAUUUAUAUAUAUAUAGCAUGUUCGAAUAUACAAGUAAAAUCUUGUAUAGAUUUAUGGUUGAAAUAAAGGUAAGAAAUGUAUAAAAGUAUAGUUGAUAUUCGAAUAAGCAUGUAUAUAUAUAUGUAAUCGCUUGUAUUGAAUUUAGGUAAGAAAGAUAUAUAUGCAUAUGUUAGAUUCGAAUAUAUAUAUAUGUAAAUACAUGAACAAGUCUUGAAAUUAGAUAAAGGUAUGAGUAUGUAUAUAUAUAUGUAUAUAUUGCUAGAAUAUAUAUAUACAUAUAUAUAAAAGUUAUUGAAAUUAGUUAAAGUAUGAAUGUUGCAUAGGUAUAAAUUCUUGAUUUUAAUCAAAGGUAUGUAUAAUAUAUAUAUAGUGCGAAUAUAUAUAUAGGUAUAUACAUGUAUAAACUCUUGAAUUUAUUUAAAGUUAUGUAACCCAUGAUUGUAUGAGAAGUUUCGAAUAGAUAUGUAUAUGUGAAUUGUAAUUUAUAUGUAUAUGCUAUAUUUGAAAAAGUAUGCUUACAUAUAUGUAUAUGUUCUUGUAAUGAAUUUUAAGUAUGAGUGUUAUAUAUAUAUAUGCAUAUGUGUGAGGUUCGAAUAUAUAGUUAUGCAUAUAUAUAUUUGCGUACAGGUAUAAUUUCUUGUAUUGAAAUUAGUUAUGGAAUUAUAUAUUGAUAUAUAUAUGGUCGAAUGUAUAUGUAUAUAUAUGUUUAAGGUUUGCAUUGGAUUAAAAGUAUAAAUUGUAAAUGCUUGUAUGAUUCGAACAGGGAUUAUAAAUUUUCUUGGGAUAGAGUUGAGGAUGUGAAUUAUACAUAAAUGUUAUGAACGUGUGUUGCUAUUAAGAAAUAUACGAGAAAUCAUCCUUGUAUCUGUGAAAUUGAAAUUUUCAAGCUAAGCGCCUAGCAGGCUAAAUGCCGGUGAAUUUUUCAGACUAUAAAUCUAGCAGGCUAAGUGCCGGUGAUCGGAAUCAGGUUAUAAACCUAGCAGGCUACGUGCCGGUGAUAUGAAUCAGGCUAUAAGCCUAGCAGGCUAAGUGCCGGUGAAUAUGUUAAAUUAUGUGAUUAUAUGCAUUAGAUAGAUAUAUAAAUAUAACUGAUUUUGGGUUAUAUAUAUAAUGAAUUAGUAUAUGAAUAUUUAUUUAUAUUUAUUCGAUGAGCUUAUAAAUGUUUCAAUCUAUAAGUUUAGUGAAUAGGCAUAUAUACAUUGGUUGAUAUGAAAAUUGUUGAAUAUACUUGUACGGAAUCGGCACAUAUGGAUUAGAAGUAUAAAUGUGCAUAUGAUUCAUGUAGUUUAUAAGUGGAAAUAUAAGUUUUUGACAUAUGUUUUUGAAAGAUCAUAAACAAGCAUUCAAUGAAAUGCAAAUGAUAAGUAUAUUUGGAAUAUAUAUAUGCAAUUAAUGAUUAUGUAUGUAACUUGAUUUUUUAGGUAUAUAAUGAUUAUACAUAUGAUCGUUUAUAUGUAUUUUGGUUAUGCUAUAAACUUACUAAGCUAUAAAAGCUUACUUUGAUUGUUUUUGUUCAUUUGUUUUAUAGAUUUUGGAGACGCGUUACGAGCUCGGGGAUCAUCAGCAUAGUCUAUCACACUAUCGACUUCUUUUGGUAUUUUGUUAACAGUUUGAACUUGAUCUUAUGGCAUGUAUAGGUUUAAGUAUGAUUUUGGUUAGAUUUGGAUUGUAUAUAUAUAUAGCAAUGCGAAAAUGGUUUAAUUUCCAUGUUUGUGAUCAGUUUAGUUUUAAAAAUGGUUGUGUUUGUUCGGUAAUGCCUCGUAACCCUAAUUCGGCGACGGAUACGGGUUAGGGGUGUUACACUGAAAGUAAAGAGAAUGAACAUGGAAAUGAAGAGUAAAGAAGCCAUUAAAGUAAAGCUUAAUAAAAAUAUGAAAGUUUAGGUUUUUAUGUAAUAAAAUUUAAAGAACAUGAAACUAAAGCCAUUCAAUAAGAAAAUCUAAAGCAAUAAGUAUAAAAUGAACAAACUUCAGUUGAUUGAAAGUAAAAGAAACUGAAAUACAUUAAAAAAAUUAGAAAUGUCUUACAACCAAGGUACAUUGACUGAAAGUAAAUCAAGAAUAAGAAGUAAAUGUAGAAAAAUAAACCCUAAAACUAAAAAGGAAGAAGAGAAAAUGAAAACCCAAAAAACGUUACAGAAAAACAAGAGAAAAUUAGAGAAAACUAAAGCUAAAACUAAACUAAUGUGUGUCUUCCUCCUCCUCAGCCAAAUUUGGUUGUCUAAACUAAUGUGUGUCUUCCUCAUCCUCAGCCAAAUUUGGUUGUUUUAGGCUGAAUUCUGAUGAAUUUUCAUAGCCAAAAUUACCCUUACAUGGGCCUUGAGUGAUUGGUGGAUUGGGUGGACAAAAACUACCUUUUUGUCCAAUUUUGUCCCCCUCAUGAUGUCGGUGUCGUGAUACCCAAACGAGGAUAUUACGACACCUUAGGCAAUUUUGAGCCUUGAGGUCUUCUUUGAAGGAUGGAUAUCGCGAUACCCAAAAUGGAUAUCACGAUACCACUGAAGGGUGGUCUCCAAUAUUUUAUACUAUUGGAGGUAUUAAAAUUUCAAUGUGUAAAUAUCGUGAUACCCUUUCCUUUGGUGUCAUUUUCGCUCGUUUUCAUCCUCCAACACGUCUCUACACCAUUCAACCAAAUGUUAUCCCCCCUAAUUGCACUAUUGGCCAAAUUGGAUCACAAAAUGAGUAAAAAUGAGACAUUUUUACUUAUUAACUUAAACUCUAAAAAUUACAAAAAACUAUGCAAAAGACACUACUUUGGUUAAGAAUAAGCUCCUUAAGUAUACCAAGAAAGCUUAAUUUUCCAUAUCAAAUUAUGGCAGAUCAAUAUGGUACACUAGUUUGCUCGAACAUUGUGCGAAAUGGGUUUUGUAACGUGAUUGGUUAAGAGUCAACUGAAAAGAUUGACUGGUCAAACAACAUAUGUAUCGAAUUCUGUUUUAUAUUUCUCUUGAUUCUUAUAAAGCAUGAAAAGGAUAAUUUAUGUAUACAUUUAACAGUUAUCAAGAUCCACUAAAAGGAACUGAGUAUAUAUAUAUGGUACGAAGGGAACAUUUAGAUAGUUUUUCUUCCUUUUGUUUCACACUUUGGUUUUUCUUCCUAAACCUAAAUAUUCUUUUCUUUUUUGUUAAACUGGAAGUUAAGGUUUUUGGGGUAAUCGGUGGAUGUUUCAACCUCCUGGUAAGUUUGAUAGCUCUGCAUGUUAUGAUUUCAAAAUAGCAAAGGUGUUAAAAGACAUAAAUACAAUAGUGAGUGAAAAGAAGACCUUGCAUGAGGGUUGUAUGCAAUUGAUAUACUGGUCAACUGUCUGUACAUGGCGUUUUAAUGGUAAUCCCAUGUUCUUUUAAGUAGUUGUUUCUGUUAGUUUGGGAAAGACGAUCUAAUUUAGAACUCCGAUCUACAAUAAAGGUGAGUUUCAAGUGAACCUUUAACCUGAAUCAUAGAUGUUAAAUUUACAAUGGUUAUUUGUAAGUUAGUAUAUUAUCAAAAAACUGAUUAAUACAUGUGUUUGUGAAGUAUUGUAAAGGUUCCGCAUGUUUACAAAUGAGACAUAUGAGUUGUUGCAUAAAUAAGAUGAUGUGUGGUAUGCACGCAUGUGAAAUCAGGUAUGGAAGAGUAUGAAUUUUUCAAGAGUGUGUGAAUGAUUCUAGGUAAGUGUGUUCUAUGUUAAAUGAGUAAAACAACUAUUUGUGUUGCUUCUGGUAGGCCAGGUACAUUGCUAAAUGGACUGACAGAUCACAAUAUGCAUAUAUGUGUAAUACCAUGUGGUAGAGACCCAUGACAUCAUAUGAGAAUGAAAAUACUUAUUGUAACACCCUAUACCCGGUUCAGUUGCUUGACUCGAGCUACAAGGUAUUACAACUAUAAAACUUUGACAUCAUUCACAAUUUAAUAAAAAAACCUAAUAAUUCAUUUGUAGUAAUUUUCCAUGUUAUUCAAUCAAAACAAGACUUAAUUCGAUCAUAUAAAGCAUUUAAAACAUAUCGAGAACAAUUUUGGAUUAAAAUAAAACUUUUACAAAAAAAUUGAGUAAAAAGUGUAAACAGGGGUCAUACGACCGUGCGACAAAGCUCAGCCUGUGUGGCUCAAGAACAUGGCUGUGUGGCCAAAUCGUGUAACAAACUAUGCCCAUGUAACUCAGGGUUACACGGCCGUAUAACUCUUUGAGGUCGUAUGAACAAUCUUGUACCCAAAAUCAAGAGACUAUACGGUCGUGUCCUACGACUGUGUGGGGCACACAGUCGUGUGGCAGAUCAUGUCACAAGCCGUGUGUACCCAAAAAUACCUUUAAACUCAAGCCAUUUUAGCUAUAAUUUCUUAGAUACCAAGCCAUGCAAUUGCUAUCACAUAAACCUAUUCAAAAUGUACCAAAACAUGCCAAAAUAGACCAAUUCACAUUUAACCUAUGUGGCUAACCAAUAUGCCACAAUUGACACCACAAUUCAAACAUGAAACAUCAAUCAUUCGUUCCAUUCAAGUCAAUAAUUCCAACAUCAACAAUUACCAGCAUUCAUAACCAAAAUAAGCUAUUACCUAGACACAUAUAAAGUCAUUCAAAACUUGACCAACAUCAUCUCAUUACCAUGUAUCAAAUAGGUACUAAACAUUUAAUACAUCAAAGUUUCAUAUAAUCUCAUUCACAACCAAAAUACCAAAACAUGAUCAUUAACAUAACAUCCUAUAUACAUGCCACAAGUAACCAACUAUUGAACUUUUAAAUCUACCAAAUUUAGUGACAGUAGAUGUGAGCUUCUCGCUAAUCCGAUCGACACGUACCGAACGUCCAAAACCUAUAAAAAAAAGUAGUAACAUGAGUGAGUAUAUAAAAUACUUAGUAAGCUCAUACAAUAUAAACAUUCACUUACCUCAAAUUCUUAUCAUAAAUAAAUUCAAUAUGAGAUACAAAUAAACCUAUCAAAAUUCAACCUAUACAAAUAAGCCGACCAACUCAAAUUCAAGAGCCCUCCGACGAACUCAAACUCAAAGGUCUUUGGACCCACUCUAACUCAAGAGACCUCUGACCAACUCAAAUAGAAGGAUAAUGCGCAUCAGUGCACUCGAACCCACGUCUUCCUGCAUUGGCAACAAUGUCCAUACCAAUCGAGUUAAGACUCAAUUGACUCAAUCUCGCUAGGCCUUACAAGCCCAUUUUGAUUACAAUGACCCAUUAGACAACAUAAAUGUAGCUUGCAACCACUCCAAUGCUACUUAGGCACAGUUUUGCACUACUUAGGUGCCCUCAAACCGAUUGCCUCAAUAGGACACUACACUUGCUCCAACGAUCCUCAAGUGUACUCUAGCUCGUUGCUUGUGGAGCCUUUAUUGGUUCCAACAGCGGAAAACGGAAACGAUUCUCAUGUUUAAACAGUAGUAUAAUUUGCUUCUAAAUUGUUGGAAAUAUACUACUACAAAACAAAAUUGUUAACGCUAACAGGAAACCAAACUAAGUGUAAAUAAAAUAGCAAUGACUGUGUCGUGGAAGAACCACUUCCUUAGAAGCAAAUUCGCCCUGGUCAGUAUAAUCAUGUAGUGGACGUUGUUGCCCAAGGUUAACACAAUACUUCAAUAUUCGUACACCCGAAUAAAGAAGGUGGAACACAAUUGGCAUUACUUUUCUAGAACGGAAUGAAAAUCGAAAAACAAAAGCAGUUGAUCGAAAAAUAAACUAGAAGAAACUAGCGAAACCACACUAGAUUCAAUUCCUAGGAAAGAUUGGAGGGGUCACAGAAGGAUAAGAGAAGUUGUUUUUCUCUCUAUUUUUCUCUUUUUGUGUUCUGUCUAAAAUGAGGAGAAUGACAUCCUAUUUAUACAAUUUUUUGAAGGGCAAAGUAGUAAAAUAUGUACGGGCAAAAAGGUAAAAUUGGUAGAAAUAAUUUCCUAAAAGUUUGCAGUAGUUAAAUAAAAAUAUUUUAUGCAAUAGAUUUUCAAAUACAUAAGUUUUGCCCAAAAAUAAUCACGUGUGGUAUGUGUCAUAGACACGUGUUAACACGAACUAAGCGACAACGCACAUGUGCUAAACCUUUAACUCUAUUACUCAAUAAAGGAAAGAGGCAAAUUUAUAUAUAAACCCUCUUAGAAGCUUAUGCCUAACCAACCUGGAAUUGUCUUUUGCAUUUCCAGCAAUUGGUUGGUUUUGUUUGCCGGUAGCCUUUGUCCCAGUGAGUUAGUUUCGUCCGCGAUAUGGCUUGAGUCCUGCUUUAUUAUCUUUCAGGUGGUGAAAGCCUGAAGCAAGUGUAAUUUAUUUUAUUCUUGUGUGACUUGUGUAUACGCGAUCUUUAAUUAUAAUUUCUAAUGAACUUUUUAUUGUUGUUGAGAUCUUUUAUAUCCCUUUCUUUCUUUUGAUGUUACAAUAAAUGCAAAUUUCUUUUGAAAAAAAAUAUUCUAAAAUACUUAAAUAAAUCUAAACACGAGUAAAAAAACCCUAAAUAUAUAUUAUAUAAUAUCAUAUCAUAUCUAAAAUACGUAAAAUUUGAUUAAUAUCAAUCCGUGUAAUAAAUAAGUUAAAUAAAUGGAUUUAAAGUUAAAAAAGUGGAUGAUUAUGAUUCACUGUUCAAAUUAUGAAAUAAUUUAAAGAUCGUUAUAAAUAAAAUAAAAUAUAGAAAUUUGUGUAAGAUGAACCACAAAUUCAUAAAAAUUAUAAAUAAUCAUUUUGCUCUUAAAAUAAUCAUUAUAAAUAAUCAUUUUACUCUUAAAAAUUAUCCUUCUCCUAUAAUUCAUAAAAGAACCACAAAACUACUCUAAUUUUGAAAAUAAUUCUAGAAGGUCCUAGUACUUUUUGGGGGCAAAGAAAAGCCAUAAACGGCAGCGUCGUCUUAAAGGCAAAUAUCUACCUUUCUUAAAUCUCUGGGUCAAAGGAAAGACCAAUCUUAGCGUGUAAUCCAAGGUGAUCCAAAACUCUACAUGACACGUGGCUUCCUCUUUUCCGUACUUUUCCUUAUAAAUCUACGUUUUUCCUCCUAAUUUCGCAUCAAAUUUCCAAUCGUCUUUUCUUUUAAUAUUUGUUCAAAGCUUUCGAUUACAAAUCCCUCGCGAAAGGUAAUCUUUGGUUUUCAUCUUCUUUUCCUUCUCUCGAUUCUUGAUUUUCUUUUUAAUUGUUGUCGUUGAACUUUUUUGGGUAUAUUUUUGUUCGAUUUAUUUAGGGUUUUUAUCUUGUUGAUUUCUUCAAUUCGAUCGGUUUUGAGAUAAAUAUUAGCAUCUGUUUGUAUAAUUAUCUCUUAUUUUUUCGAAUUCAAGAUCAUAAAUCCUCGGUUGUUUUGGCUGUAUAAUUUAUUGUUAAUAUUAGGGUUUCAUCGUUUAUUGCUGAUCUAGUUUCUGGAUCUAAUUAUAAUUGAUUUUUAUUUCUUUCUUAUGACUGUUGUUUUCUUAUGUUAUCAAUCCGUUGAUUUUGUGUGAUUUAUUGGUGAGUCUAAGUUGGGUGGUCGGCCCAAAUUGGAUGUUAUUGUUCAUGUUAUUCGAUUGGUAGAUUGUAUGAAAUAAAUAUUGUUGAUUUCGGUUUUUAAUUGCUUGAUGUAUUAUUCAUAAUUUGUGGUGUAAGGUGUUAUUUCAACUUUAUAUGUAGGUAUAAUCUAUCCCGAAUUUGAUCUUGGUUGCUUCUACUCUACUUUUUGUUAUUUGCUCUUCAAAAAAUGUUAUAAUUUGGUUCAUGCGAAGUAAUUCUGUGUUUCAUGUCGACACAACAGAUGCAGAUCUUUGUGAAAACUCUUACUGGUAAGACCAUCACCCUCGAGGUGGAAAGCUCCGACACAAUUGAUAAUGUCAAGGCCAAGAUCCAAGACAAGGAAGGGAUCCCCCCUGACCAACAGAGGCUUAUCUUCGCCGGGAAACAGCUUGAGGAUGGCCGUACCCUUGCUGACUACAACAUCCAAAAGGAGUCCACCCUCCACCUUGUCCUUCGUCUCAGGGGUGGCAUGCAGAUCUUCGUAAAAACCCUUACUGGCAAGACAAUCACCCUUGAGGUUGAAAGCUCUGACACAAUUGAUAAUGUCAAGGCUAAGAUCCAGGAUAAAGAAGGGAUCCCUCCUGACCAACAGAGGCUUAUCUUUGCCGGUAAGCAACUGGAAGAUGGUCGCACCCUUGCUGACUACAACAUUCAAAAAGAGUCUACCCUCCACCUUGUGCUUCGUCUCAGGGGUGGCAUGCAAAUAUUUGUCAAAACCCUUACUGGCAAGACAAUCACCCUUGAAGUAGAAAGCUCCGACACAAUUGAUAAUGUCAAGGCCAAGAUCCAAGACAAAGAAGGUAUCCCUCCUGACCAACAGAGGCUUAUCUUUGCUGGUAAACAACUGGAGGAUGGCCGCACCCUUGCUGACUACAACAUCCAGAAAGAGUCUACCCUCCACCUUGUCCUUCGUCUUAGGGGUGGCAUGCAGAUCUUUGUAAAAACGCUCACUGGAAAAACCAUCACUUUAGAGGUGGAGAGUUCUGAUACAAUUGAUAACGUUAAGGCCAAGAUUCAGGACAAGGAGGGCAUCCCACCUGACCAGCAGAGGUUAAUUUUUGCUGGGAAACAGCUUGAAGAUGGCAGAACCCUUGCAGACUAUAACAUUCAAAAGGAGUCUACCCUCCAUUUGGUGUUGCGUCUUCGUGGUGGUAUGCAAAUUUUUGUGAAGACCCUCACAGGAAAGACUAUUACCUUGGAAGUUGAGAGUUCUGAUACGAUUGACAAUGUAAAAGCAAAGAUUCAGGACAAGGAGGGAAUUCCCCCGGAUCAGCAGAGGUUGAUCUUUGCUGGGAAGCAGUUGGAGGACGGUCGAACUCUAGCUGACUACAAUAUCCAGAAGGAGUCUACUCUGCAUCUUGUCCUUCGCCUCCGUGGUGGUUUCUGAUUUGGGUCCUGUUAACCAUUCUGCCUUUGGUGUUGUCUGGUUUUCUUUUUAUUUCAUGAUGUUUAGCCAUUAAAGUGGCAAAACCUUCUAUUAGUUGAAGGUCCUUGUGUUUUUUAUUUUUAAGGUAAUGAUAUUAGUUGAAGAUCCUUGUGUUUUUUAUUUUUAAGGUAAUGAUACUUUGGUGUGAAGUGGUUAGAGAGCCACAACUCAGUUACUAUAUUAAAUAAGGUUCGGACUAUUUCUUAAUCUCCUAUCCUUAAACAUUCAUUUCGCAUGUUGCUCUGUCAUAUGUUCUGCGAGCAUGUGCAUUGUUGAGUGGUGAAUGGUAUUUAGCCUUUUGUUUUACGCCAUAAUCUAUUACUGAGAAUAGAUGGAGCUUUUCUUUAUAAAAGAUUAAAGUCACUGUAUCAGUAUCUAGCCAAUUUUGGAGCUGUGAGAUAUGCGGUAGGGUGAUUGAGUAGAGGAAUUCAAUGGUAAAACGGAAUCCAUGUAGGGCAGACGUUAGCUUUCAUAAAUAAAUCACUGCAGCAAAACCAACAAUAUUAAUUUCUUCCCUUUUUCCCAAGAAACUAACCACAACUAAAUAACUUCUCAAUAACUAGCUGUAUUUUUUCCUAAAGAUGAACUAUAGCCACUGGAAAUUAAGGUUCUCAACUUCAAAACUUUUGAAUCGAGUAUCCAUUCAUGUAUAAAUGAGAUAACCUAAAGGUGAACCAGUUAAUGGGUGAUUAAACAGUAUUUACACUAAUCUAAAUCCCUUAAAUUUUUAGUUGGAUCUCAUUGUUACUCCGAGUAAAAGAUUUUGCAAAACUACUUCGGUUUUUCUCUGAACUGACACAAUCGAAGACGAGGCUGAAGAUGGUGGUGUGUUGCCGUUUCCAUCAUUCUUAUUUACUUGAGGGCUGGAGUGGUCAGCACCAGCUCCUGUUGACUCUGGAUCUGCUUUGGGCAAAUAUGUUUCAUCAGAAUGUAACUUCCAAGGUUCACUGGAUUUCAGAAUCCACGACACUCCUCUAGAGAACUCUGGUAUGCUCGUGGUGUCGGUUUAAAAAGUCUUCAAGUGUCGCAAGAGAUUUCAGUUGCUGCCCUAAAGAACUGAUGAAGAAGAAUGGAGGGUUUGAUUUAGGGAUUUUGAUUUGAGAGGUUUGAAUUUGAUAAUUGAUUUUGGGAUGUAUUUGAUUGGACUCAAACUCGAUUAAAAUAAUUCAAGCACUGCCUUGCUUCAAUUGAAAGUUGCCACCUUAUUUUCUUUGAUCAAUUAUCAUUAGAAAUUAUGCUGUCUUGCUUCUUGAAUGAGUUUUUCUUUUGCCAAGGUUUUAUUUAACUCCACACUUGGAUCUAAACAUUGUAAGUGGCAUGUUCUCACCCCGCAACUCUCUUUCUGUUACCUCGUUCUAUCUGCCUUAUAAUCAUGGCUGUAGGAAUCUAAUUUUAAGACCUAAAGCUUUGUGAAAAAUUAAUAACAAUUUGACACCCAAUUUCAUACACUUUACAUCUUCCUACAUUUGAAUACGAAAUUGUUAACAUCCAUUAAUUUAUCAGGUUCAUGUUCUUGGAAUUUCAGUUAUACAAUCCCAAGCCGGUUACUGUUCCUAAUUAAAUUAAGAGAUUUAAAACUUUUAACAAACUGCACACGAUUAUGUGCUUUUUAUUGUGAUGAAGAGAGCGAGUACAGCUAAAACACCAGAGUAACUAAGGGAGACAUUACAUUUAUUCUUGAGAACAUAUUUUGUUUAAAUCAAACUGCGAGAUGGCGUGUCACACCUCCCAGGCUCCAUCUCACAUUCGGACAUUAUUUUCUUGGUAACCUUUUGCAUGAUCUCUCGCAUCUGUUUGCUCCCCAUUUGUUCUUGCAUCUGUUGCAUCUGUUGCAUCGUUGCAUGUCUUAGACCUUGACAUCUGCAUUGCGUAUCCAUCUUCUCUAGCUGCUGGCAACAUGAGUCAAUGUACCCGCCGGCUAUAUUGUCGCUGCCUUCGCCACCCCACUCUUCCUCCAUGUACUUCUGGCAGUGCUUCAGGUGGGCUUGCUUCCUUAUCUGCUGUUCACAGCUAUCCCGGUUUUCCUCGCUUUCGACCGUCACAGAUGUGAUUGAAGCAUUGGCAAGGAACAAAAUGAGAGCCAGGGUGGCUAAGUAAACUGCGAGCUUUGCCAUUGUUGAUUUAUGCUGGUAUGGAGAAAAUAAUCAGAUGAGAAGGGUGAGCAAUGGGGUGGAGGAGUGAUGGUAAUUUAUAGGAGAGUUGAACCUUUGCAUGGGGAAUACGUGUGAUGUUGAAACUUGAAACCUAACACGUAGGUUAAUUUCUGCAUGCAAGAAUGGACACAUUUGUUUGUUUGGUUAUGAAACUGCCUUAACUGGGAUCGAUAGUAUUCAGGUUCUCUGUGUAAUUUUAAGAUCUCCUGGGGAUAAAAUGGUUUCACUUUGCAUUGGUGAUCCAAUUUGGAUUCAACCCUCAAACACUUAACGCAAUUUGGAUAUUUUUCAAGCCCAUGUAUAUGUUCAAAAUUUUAAAAAUAUAUAAUAAAAAAUGUUUGCGGUGCUUGGAAAACCUCCUUAAGUUGAUCGUUACGCUCAGAGACUUCAUUAGGUCAACUUCAAAGAUGACCUCACCAACAUCUCACUUCACCGAACAGUGCAUGGCUAUGAAAUAUACAAACCACCUUUUAUGACUUAAAAAAGAGGGUAUUUUUUAAUUUUCCGCCAAUUGUAGUGGUACUUUGGAUACAUUUUAACAUUUAAUCAGCUUACUUUUUAGGUAUUUUAUAAUUAAUUAUUGUAUUUUUAGUAAUAGUAAUUUAGGAUUUAAUUAUCAGUAAAAUAAGCGUUUUUAUGCAUUUUUUGAUGUCUCGAUGACCCAUAAAGGUUAACUUGGGCCUCGAGAGUGAUUAAUAGCUAAUUAAGUGUGUAGGAUGCCAAUUUAGGCCAAGAGUCUUGUUGGGGAUCAACCCGAUUAAGCAACAAACAAAUAAAAAUAGCAGAAGAAAUUGAGGAAUUGAACACACAAAAUUAACGUGGAAAAAUCUCUUCAAAGAGGAUAAAAAACUACCGGCAAAGAUAAAACUUGGGCCCGAUCCGACCCGCCCGUAUUAAUUUUUUAUAUUAAUUUUAUAUAAUUUUUAAAUAUAUAUAAUACAUCAAAAUUACUAAAGAUAUCAAAAUAAAUAUUUUCCAACAAAUUGAAAAUAAAUUUUAAAAAAUAUGUAUUAACACUAGAUGCAACUUAACAAGCAAAUGCCUCUAAAAUAAUAACAAAAUUAACAAAUGUCUCUAAAAUAAUAACAAAAUUAUCAAUAAAACAAGUUUUAUACAAUAUCCAAAUAAUAACAACAAAAUAGUAGCAAUAUAAUAGUAAAGUAGUAGCAAAAUAGGGAGAAAACAAAAAAAAAUAGUAUAUAUUAAAAAACAAAAAAAAUUUAUUUUUUUGUCCUUUAGGGAAUUUGGGCCGAACCAGGCCCAAGCUAAAAAUGUCUUACCUAAGGUAAGACCAUUUUUUUAUGGGCCUUAUUUUUUGUCCAAACCCAUUUUUCGGGGUUAUAUUUUUGCCCAAAUCCUCCCACAUUUCGAGCAAGCCGGGUGGCCCGACCGAUGAAGAAGUCUAUCUUCAAUUUCAAUCUUAACCUCAACAUUAUUUAAAUCAUUCAAAAGAGUAAUAAAUUGACUAAUGUGAUCUUUAAGAAGCUCCCAUUCGUUCAUGCGAAAUGUAAAUAGACGUUGUUUCAAUACUAAAAGGUUAGCUAGAGACUUAUUCGCAUAAAGAGUUUCUAAUCUUUUCCACAAGGCGAAUGGGGCUUUCUCCAUCAAUACCUCCUGCAAUACCAUAUUCGCGAGACACAAUUGAAUUGCAGAUAGAGCCUUUUCAUCAAGCUCUUCUGAUUUUGUCUUAUCUAGAUUCUCAAGCUUUUUUUCCAGUAUCGACCUUUUUCAGGCCGGUAUGAACUAGAAUUGCCAUCAUUCGAACUUACCACAUAUUGAAAUUUGUGACACCAUCGAACUUCUUAAUGUCAAACCUUGUUGUUGUCAUCUUUAAACGUGUUGAUCUAUAAAAAUUGAAUUAGCUCUGAUACCACUUAUUGGGAAUUAACCUAAUUAAGCAACGAACAAGUAAAAAAUAGCGAAAAAAUUGAGAAAUUGAACACACAAAUUUAAUGUGAAAAAACCCCUCCAAAGAGGAUAAAAAACCACGAGUAAAGAUAAUUUUACUAUAAUGACAAAAAUACGAAGAGUACAAAAGAUGGAGAUAAAAAACUAAACUUUGAAACCUGAAAAUAAAAAACCCUCAAAAUGUAAACACAAAAUUCUUUAAAAGUAUUAUAAAUUCUAAUAUUUAGUGGGUGUAUUAUCUAAGGUUUUAAAAGAGUCUUUUUAUAAGUUAAAUUCGUAGGUCAAAUAACAAUAAAAUAAUUUAGACUAAUCAGAGUUCGAUUGAAACAAAUAAACAGAGUUUAACUGGGAGAUUAUCUCUUAAAUUUGAUUGAAAUAUGAGUUAUACUCAACAAAUCCAAGGAACAAUCGUCGAGUCGCGAUACAAGGAAGCCCGUGCUGCAACAUAGAACAACCAAGUGGCAAAGGCUGAAAAUUCAUUCGACAUUGUGAUGUGACGAGGAGUUUUCCCACAUCACAAUUGUAAUGCCCAAUUUAUGCUCGGGGCCCAAAACCAAACCUAGCCCACUAACAGCCCAUUACCCAAAUGCAUGCCCAAAUCAAAAACCCUACAGCAGCCCUAACCCAUUCACAACAAGAAAGCAAAAAACCUAACCUUAGGUGCGCCGCACCUAGGGUCUUCUGUCUUCUGCCACCGUCCCAUCACCCCACUUGCCACCGCCUCUGACCAGCGCCUCACCGCCACCAACUCUGCCACCACCAUUGUCACAUCAACCACUUGCACCUGCAAAGAUCAAAAUAGAAGUGAUAGUUUUUAAAAAAUAGAAAAAAAGGUAUGUUUCGACUAUAAGAAGCCAUUUCAACCGAAUGUAAAAGGGGAUUUUUUUGAAAAUAAUAAAAGAAAACGGUUCAAAAAAAGAGCAAAGAUUCAAAGGUUGUUUUCUUAUUUUUAUUUUUACUUUGUUUUUUUUCCUUGAUUUUUUUAUUUCGAAAUAUUAAAUAAAAAAAGAAAAAUGAAGUUUUUUUUUACCUUUUCGUUGUUGCCGGAGUGCUCGGGGGGCGAAGGGCUGCAUCGGAAGAAAAAAAGAGAAAUUUUUUGGACUCCCCGUCGCUGUGCACUGCGGCGCCGGUGACUGACGGCCGACGUGGUGGCGGUUGGCCGGAUUCUGGGCCGGUGGCCGGAUGGGGGGAGAGGAUAUUUUGAGAAGAAAGGAUUUUUUUUAAAAUGAAAGUUGAAAUGAAUUUUUUUGAAAAAUUUGACUUAAAUAGGCCUCCAAAACGACGCUGUUUUGGGCAGGCCUCUCAGGCACCAAAAUGACGCCGUUUUGGCUUGACCCGAUUUGACCCGACUCGAACCUCCUAGGAUCAGCGUGUUUUCUGGCGCAUGGGUUAUUUGCGGGCGCGAUCCUCCCGCUUUUGCGACGGUUUACAAUUGGGUCCUCAGUUGUUUUUUUUUCUUUUUAAUUUUGCGAUAUAAUUUUUAUUUUGUUUCACUUUGGUCCAUAUUGAAGUAGGGCAUUCCCUGGGCUGGGGAUAAUUUCCCAUCUGGUCCCCGUCUCUUUUUAGCUCGUUCAAAUUGGUCCCUUUCUUUCUUAUUUAUUUUCGAUUUGCCCCCGAAUUUUGUUUUAAAAUCCAAUUUAACCCCCCUGUUUUAUUAUUUCAGUUAUUUUAUUAUUAAUAUUAAUAAAUUUGAUAUUAUUAUGAUUAUGAUUAUUAUUAUUAUUAUCAUUAGUAUUAUUAUUAUAUUUCUAUUUCUAUUUACUUAUUUAAACUUUAAAUAUAUUUGUCUUAUUAUAUAUUGAUAUUAUUAUUUGCUUAUUUAUAUCUUUUUUAUUUCAAACUUUGUUAUAUAUAUAUAUAUACAUACAUAGAUAUUUUUAUUUUUAUUUUCAUUAUUGUUAUUAUUGUGUUAUUUGAUAUUUAUUUAUUUAUGUGUUCAUUAUUAUUUUGAAAAACGUUUUAGUCCUAUUUGUUUAUUUACUUAUUAUUUUAUGUAUAAUUGAUUUUAUCUUAUUUUUGUUGUUGUUGCUCGUAUUAUUUAUGUUUACAUCAUCGUGUUCAUUUUUGUUUUGUUACGCAUAGUAACACCGUAUUUUAUUCAUACUUUUUCAUGUUAGAUUAAUUUUAUUCAAUGCAUAAAUUAUGAUUUUUGAAUAAGCAAAAUCUCGUGUUUAGAUUCGAGAAGGUCGUACCCUAACUUACUGGGUUUCGAUUUUCACAAUAAAUCUAAAUACACAAAUCUUUUCAAACUCAAGUUUUAAACGAUCUCGAAAAUUAAGAAAAGAUCAUGUCCUAACUUAUUGGGCAUGAUCCCUUUUCUAAACCCGAGAUAAUUAAACAUCUUUUUAAAUAAGUAAAUUUUUGGCAUUCAUUUGCGCAUCGGAAAUUCAAGACAUUGUAUCCUAACUUACUGGAUAUAAUUCUCUUUCUCGAAUAACGUGAAAUAUGCCAUUUUCCCAAAAUUUUCAAGAUUUCAAUAAAGGAUCGUAUUUUAAAUCUCUUCAAAGUUUUCAAUUUUCGACACUAAGACAUUAAGUAAUCAACUAGGUACCAAUUUUGGGCGUAUCGAGGGUGCUAAUCCUUCCUCGUGCGUAACCGACUCCCGAACCCGUUUUUCUGAAUUUUGUGGACCAAAAUCGUUGUUUUAAUAAAAUCAAAUCGUUUAUUAAAGACAACCACUUUUCGAGGUGAGCCGAUCACACCUUAUCAAAAAAGAUUGGUGGCGACUCCUAUUUUCGUUUUCAUUUUUAAAAUCCAAGUCGACCCCGUUUUCACAAAAAAUGGUGUCAACAACAAUGACACAGCGAAGAAAAACCAAAAUGAAGUUGAUUCUUUGGACGACACUUUUGAGAUAUUUCCUUAUUUGGACCCCAAGCAUUUAUCAAAAUAUUGCAUUAAUUAGAAUCCAAAAAUGUAUCUAGGUUAAAUGGUCACCAAAUCACCGGUAGCAUAUAUAAGUAAGCUUAGGAUCACCUGAAUGGUGGGCAAACUUAGACAGAUAAUUUUUACUAAUCAAUUUUUUGUUUUUUUUAUUUUUAUGUUCGCUUAGUUGAAACUUAUCUAUUUCAAUGUGAAGACAUUUGCAAGCUGAGAUUUCUCCGGAAUCAUGCUUCAAUAUAUUUAUUCAUGAGCAUUCUCUUAUCUCUUCUCUUCCGUUCUUUUAUUUAUCUUUUGUUAAUCUAGUCCAUUAAUGUUUAUAUGUAUGAUAGAUUAUUGUGCUUUAUUUACAUCUUGCAUGAUUCGGUUUUAUUGGUUAAGUAGUUAUUUAUUUGAAAUUGUUUGUGUAUUCAAGAGUACUUAGUAUAUUAGGGAGUAACGCCCCUGGUAGAAUAUCUAGAUAGGUGACACCGGAAGGGUAUUCUGUUGUGUAUAACUUGUACCAAGCAGUGAGAUCGGGAGAGUAUUCGGAUACCUAGGAAGAGACCGGAAUGGUGACUUAGAUGGUAAUCCUUAGUGAAGAUGAGACAUGAAGGAUAUUCUUAACUAAGGGUGAUAAAUCACUUAAUCGAGAAUAAUUAACUAUUUAAUUAAACAAUUAGAAAUUUAAUCGAUAAUAGACUAGAGGCUCGCAUUGUUGACACUAUGAGAGGAGAGAUCUCCUCUUCCAAUCUCUUAAAAAAUCAUUUGCAGCUCCAACUUUCAAGUAAAUUGUCAUCAACCGCAAAAUCUAUUUUUAUCCAUCUCAAUAAAAAAUCUAAUAUUUUAAAAAAUUAAUUAAAAAAUACCAAAAUAUUUCAAAACAAUAAAAGAUGCUUAAAAAUUAAAAUAAAAUUCACCGAAAAAUGCAUAAAAUUUGGGCCAGUUUUACACAUGAUAUUUAUAUCAUACAUAGUUUAACUAAAUCACAUUUUAUCAAUCUUAAAUUUAGCUCAAAUAUAUCAAUGUUUAUCAAUAAAUAAUUUAAACUCAUUAUUUUUAUUUUUUAAAAAAUAAUCUUAUUUAUUUUUUAUUUCAUCAAAUUUAUAAAUAUAAACAAUUAAAUAUAUAUUUUAAUAUUUAUACUAUAACAUAGCAUUUUUAAUUUUCAAUUUAUCAUACAUCAUAUAAUAUAUAAAACAAGAAAUAGAUCACAUCUUCGGACCUUAGCCUAUGUAUUAAAUGUUUUGUGUCUAAAACAAUUUUUCGAAUUUAAUAUUUUUUUCAAAUCUUUUCAAAUUCCAGUCAGCUUCUAUACUUUUGAAAUUCAUAAAAGUUGAGGGUUUGAAUUUACAAAUUAAUUGAGACUAAAGCCUGUAAUUUAGUUGAAGCAUAAAAAUUUGAUAUUUUGUAUUUACGAGAUAUUUUGCUUAUUUGUUUUCUCUCUUCCCAAACCAACCCUCAAAACUCAGCGCCAGAGAGCUCAGACUUCGAUCAUCAAUUUUAGGGUUUUUUUCCUAUUAUUUCAUAAUCAGAUUCUUGAUUAUCCAAAAUUCUAAUCUUCAGAUCAGGUUUGUUUUCACCGCUUUUUUACUUUUUAUUUUAUUUAUAAUUGCAAUCGAUGAUUUGAUUGUGUAAAUUCUCUUUGAUGCUUGUUUUGGGUUUUAUGUUUAAUCGAAAAAAAAAGUGAAGAUUUUCGGCUCCUUUUUCUGAAACUAUUAUCACAACCCUUGUUGGUACUCUUUGGGUAUAAUAUAACUAAGCAAUCCCUGCCUUUCUUACCAGAAAAAAAAAUUAUUGAUAUAAUUUAGCAUUCCUUUUUGGUUAAAAUUCACUGUUACCCUCUUUAGGUUAGAUCAACAUAAUGGGUGCCCCUUUUGCGAAAAAUGUCUAUUUUUGUUCGUGGCUUAUGCUUGGAGCUGCAGAAAUCUAUGUAUGAAUCUAUGGUGCUUUAUCUUUGUGUAGGUUUUUGCUUGACCAAGAAUGCUAAUUUUUUAUUUUCAUGAAAUGUUUGUUUAUGCUUUGAUAGUUUGUUUUCCUUUUAGCAGAAAGUAAUUUGAUAAAAUGUUUGAUUGAGAGAUGUGAAGAGAGAUAAAACUUUAUAAUCUAGUCAAAUGAAAUCACUGAUCAACAUUUGGCCUUGCAAUGUAGGUCUUAGUUUUCUAGUUGUUGGGCUCUUUCGACCAGCUAAGUUUCAUGUCUGAUCUUGACAUCCAGAUUCCUACUGUCUUUGGUAAGCAUUUCCCUCUCAUACCAAAUUGUCUCGGUAUUGAAAAAUCUAACUAGUACCCAUUGUCGUUCUGCUAGAUCCGUUUGCUGAUGCAAAUGCUGAAGACUCUGGUGCCGGUGCCAAGGAGUAUGUGCAUAUUCGUAUUCAGCAGCGGAAUGGUAGGAAAAGCCUGACCACUGUCCAGGGGUUGAAAAAAGAAUUCAGCUAUAACAAAAUUCUUAAGGACCUCAAGAAAGAGUUUUGUUGCAAUGGCACUGUGGUCCAAGACCCUGAAUUAGGGCAGGUGUGUGUCUAACCACCUAAGAAAGUGAUCGACUUUGGCUUCCAUCUUUGCUCUCGAUUGUUAAGUUUAUUAUACUUGGGUUUUUUGUAGGUUAUUCAGCUUCAAGGCGAUCAAAGGAAGAAUGUUUCCACCUUCCUUGUUCAGGUCAUUGCCGUUACCCUUUCAUUUAGAUAUUCUUAAAACCAGCUAGAGUUUUCCAAUUUUGACAUAACUAUUUUCGUUUGGUUAGUCAUGCAUGUGCCGAGCUUCGUAUUUUCAAUUCACCGCAUGUUGAAUUCUUAUUUGCUUUUGUGAACAGGCCGGUAUUGUGAAGAAGGAUAACAUCAAAAUCCACGGCUUUUAAAGUUGCAACGGCUAAAAUUUCUUCAAGACUAUCCUAUUCUGAAACUCCUAUAUAUGUAAUGUUAUAAUAUGUUUAUAGUGGUGUGAUACUGAUAAAUGCACCCUGUGACUGUUUUUCUUGUUGUGCUUUCAACUCUUUAGCCCUAUGUGAUGCUGAAUGGCGAUGUUAGCUUUAAUUAUUUCUAUUUCUCACAUGGUUGUUGCUACCAUCAUCUUUAGUAAAAACUAUUUGACAGGUUAUUCCCUUUCACAUCGUAUUUUGCCAGUUUUUUAAGCCUUGGAUUGAAUUGGUAUCGGCAUAUGAGUAAUAGGUUCUUAAAGUUGACCAUGUACCCAAUGCUUGGUUACUGGAUAAGUUUUUGGUGCAUUUUUUUUACUUGUUUUUGCUCGAAUAACAGUUAAAAGAGGAGUAUAAGUCAAUCGUAAUGAGUUUUAUAAGAUUUUGUAAUUUAAGAAUUCCAAACUUUUGAAUCGGAUAUUGCUAGAAUUUCGUUGGAAUUUGGACACAACAUACUAGCUUUGCUUUGACUAGUGGUUGAGAUCACUCCUGAUAGUAGCGAGUCUACUUUCUUUUUUUGGUGGUUCUUGGUUUCCAUGAUGUUUUGGUGUCGUUUUUUUGGCCUUCUUUAUGGGGGCGUGCAUGCCGUCGAUGGUAAAAUUCCCCUUGGCCCCCGAACAUCUUGGUUAGGGGUGAGUAAAACUCGAUUCGAUUCGAAAAAAUCGAAAAAGGAAUUCGAAUUUCGAGUUAAUCGAAUCGAGUUAUUCGAAUCAACUUGAAUUUUUUUUUCGAAUUUCGAGUUCGAAUCGAGUUGAGUUUUCAAAUUCGAAUAAUUCGAAUAAUUCGAAUAUCAAACUAUAAUAUUUUACAUUUUUACCCCAAACUCUUGAACUUUUUUUACUUUUCCCUCAAAAUUUUUACUCUUUCCCACUUUCCCUCCAAAACUUUUACUCCCCUCCCCUCCCAACCCCCCAAUCUACUUAAAAUCUAUUUCCCACCAAAAUUUUACUCUCCCAUUCAUUUUUUCUCAAAAUUUUACUCCCAAAAACUCUCAAAACCUUUUAUUUUCUCUCAAAAUUUUUACUCCCUCCCACUUUUUCUCUAAAACUUUUAUUCUCUUACCAUCUCACCUCCCAUCUACCCCAAACCCUCCUCCCUCCAAUUUUUUUUUAAAUAUUUUUCCUCCAAAAUUUUACUUCCCCUAUUUACUUUCCCUCAAACUUUUACUCUCCAAAACUUUUUAUUUUCCCCCUAAACUUUUACUUCUCACCCUUUACCCUCAAAUAAAAAAUCAAAAUUAUCCAAAAAAUUUCACUAAACAUAAAUAGUAAUAAUUUUAUUUAUAUUUACUAUUUAUAUUAUUAAAUUAAAUUUCACAUUUUAUAUUAUUUAUAUUAUUGAAUUGUUUAGUCAUAUUGAAUAUUUAUAUUAAAAUUGAAUUAUUAAUUAUGCCAUAAAAUAUUCGUGUUAAAAUUUUAUAUUGGUAUCAAUUUCACAUUUUAUUUUUAAAAUAACUUUUAUUAAAAAAAUCAUAUUUUUACAUUUAAUAUAUUUUUUAAUUUCAAAAUACAUAGUGACAAGAAUCUGAAGAUAAUUGAAACAACUAUGCAAGCAAAGAAGCUAACCAAUAUAUAAAAAAUUAAUAAAUAAAUUAUGAGGUGAUAAAAGUUAAUAAAAAAUUUGAUUAAGGUGGGUGACAGUAGUUACAAGGACCCAAAAUUAUUUUUUAAAAUUUAACUCGAACAAAUAUAUUCGAUUCGAAUUCCAUCUCACUCGACUCGAUUCGAGAAAAUUUCAAAUAAAGUUAGGAUAAUAAAAUGAGAUUCGAAAACUCGAUUAACUCGAAACUUUUCGAUUCGAUUCAAUCGAAUGCUCACCCCUAAUCUUGGUCACUCAUUCGCUCUCCUCCUGUUGUAUUUUCUCUGAACUUUUCAGGCCUUACCGACUGUAUUGUUCUAUUCUUUAAUGGAUUGAUAUGUUAAAAUAAAUAAAUAAAUAAAUCUAUAUGUAUAGCAUUAAAAGGAGAGUCAGGCUUUGAUAAUUCGAUAGAGACAGAUAGUUCUCAGAUGUUAUCUUACCCUACCUAUUCUUGUUCGGUUAUGAUAAAGUAAAUGGGUAACAUACCAUUUGCUACUUUUGGUUGGAUACUUAAUUUAAAUAUUAAAACCAAAUUGAGGUACUUAGAUGAGAAAGAAAAAGUCAAGUAUCGAAAUUAAAUUCAAGUAUCAAAUAAUAUAUUAACCGUAAAAUAAAUAAAAACCACAAGCCAGUUUCAAUGAAAUCAAGUAGCAUAUGGCUAAGCAUAUAGGGGAGUUCCAGGGUGAGGUCCAUAAAAAGAACCAACAUAUAUAAAUUGAUGUAAAGUGAGUAAACCACUUUUUCCUGCUAUGCAAGCAUGCUGCAAUGGUGGGUCCUCCCCAUGCAUAGUUUGAUGAGUAGUACACAACAUUCCCAUCCAAGGGAAUAAAAUAAUCCUUCCUUUUUGUUAUCUUUGGAAUUACAAGAUUUGGGUGUUGAUUUAGAACGUCACAGGGACUGUACUUGCAACGUUUUUCUAAUUACAAAUGGCCUGAGAUAGACCCCAAACCUCAAACCACAAGUUUAAUUAAGUAAAUUUGCUUUGAAAAUGAAGUUUUUAAAGUGUUCAUCUAACUUUACAAACAAUUCUCAGCUGUAAUAUCAGUUAAAAACACCAUGAGUCUGCUACAGAACAGUGCAGAUGGAUGAGAAUAACCUGUUGAAAUAACUCUGAAAACAACAUGAUUGAAUCGUGGCAAGGAAACUAUUUAUUAAUGUUUCCCAAGUACAAAAACUGAUUGGAUGCUACUUUUGGCACAAUACACAACCUUCUUUUAUUUAUUUAAACCAAUGUGUUAUGUCUGAAAAAUCAACUUUAUAUCCCUACUAGUAUAACAUUUCACCUAACAUAUACCAUCACCAAAUUCCUUAUUCCAUUCGCCAACUAACUUUCCAUUUCCCAACUAACAUGUAGGAGAUUUUUUUUUUUUGCUAUAUAAUCACAUUUGGAACUGUAUUUAAAUGCCUCUAAAACAUCUCCAAACUCAAAUUUCUAUUUUGACUCUCUGACUCAUAAAUAUUAAGAAAAUGGCUGAAUCUGAAUAUUCUUCGAGUGAAAAUGCAUCUAUGGACUCCGACUCCAUAGGUAAAAUUUCCUUAGCCUUGUUCUUCAAAAUCCCAUGUUUUCUUUUCCACUACUGUUGAGAUUUUCCUUUUUGCAUCAUUGCUUCUUCUUCUUCUUCUUUUUUGAAUGCUUUUGGUCUAUGACAGGAUAAAGCUAGUCCUUUUCUUAUCUUUUACAUUUUGCAGCUAUGAAAAGUUUUUUAUUUUUUAUUUUUGUAAAGCUUAAGAGAAUUUUUCUAAACUCGAUUUUACAGAGGAUCAAAGUAAACAAGAUUUGGAACUUCAAUUCUCAGAAGAUGAGGAAACACUAGUAAUCAGGAUGUUUAAUUUAGUUGGAGAAAGGUACAUGUCAACAUGAGCAAACUGGGUUUAUUUUUUAACAUUUUUAUGUGAAAAAAAGGAGGUUGAAUAUGCUAUUAUAUCAGGUGGGGUUUGAUCGCUGGGAGAAUCCCUGGAAGAACAGCCGAGGAGAUUGAGAAAUAUUGGAACACAAGAUACUCAACAAGCCAGUGAAAAAAAAUUCUGGGAAUUUUGCUCAAGUUUGGUGGUAGGCAGCAUGAUUAAUUAUGAUGUUAUUGUUAUAGCAUAGGAAUGUUGAAUGUAGAUGUAAGUUGGCUGUGUUUCUCGUAUCCUAUCCAUCCCUUCUAUUCCAAUUUUAUUUCCCUCUAGUUUUUAUAAGAAAUUAGUGAAGGAAAAUUAUAUUUAUUUAAUUCCAGAUUCUCUAAUAUCCCAUCAUCAUCUAUUCAACAGAAAAUUGCAGCAAAUUAGUUCUUGUUGUCUAAUGCAUUCCUUUUUAAAAACGAAAGACAAUUCCAGUACUAAUGGCAGAACAAUAGCGCUUCCAAUAUGCAUCACUAAAUUUAGGGAGGCUAAAACAAAAUUUAGAUGUAAAAAUAGAACGUCGGUAAUGACAAUAUAUCGCAAAGAAACGAGAAAUAAAAAUAAGCAACACAUAUUUUUACGUGGAUACCCUUUCGGGAAAAAUUCACGGGCAGAUGAGAAGAAAAUUCACUAUGUCGAAUUCGAAUGAUUACAAGAGGAGUUUCGACUAUAUCUAUUUAUAGGUUGAAAAACUUAAUUCUAAUCAAAGUCAAAUAUAUUAUGUUAAUAAAUGCUAAAUAUAUUAUACUCAUAAAUACUAAAUCUUCUAGAAAGAAGAUAUAUUUUGUUUAACUUGACUUACAAACAAUCUCUUAGAAUUUGGGUCACACAACUCUAACAAUCUCUAUCGUGACACGAAUUCUCAACGAACAAGUUUUUCACCUCUUCCAUAAAACCCUUUAAGGGUUUAACUUCAAUAAUAAACACCAACCAAGUCUAAGCAAUACUCAAACUUGACUAUAGGAAGUGGCUUAGUCAUCAUAUAUGCAAGAUUUUCAUGAAUACUAAUUUUGCUCACAACAAUAUCACGAACAAAAUGAUACUGAACAUCAAUGUGUUUUGUUCUCUCGUUAAACAUUUGAUUUUUGGUAAGGAAGAUGACACUCUGACUGUCACAAAAUACUGUACUGAUUUGAAGGUCUUCAUUGAGUUCACUAAAGAGUCCUUUCAACCAAAUAGCUUCUUUACAAGCCUCAGUAAUCGCCAUAUACUCAGCUUCAAUGGUAGACAAAGCGACUGUAGUUUGUAAAGUGGCUUUCCAACUAAUUGUACAACCUCCGAUUGUAAAGACAUAACCUGUGAGAGAUAUUCUUCUAUUAAGGUCUCCAGCAAAAUCAGCAUCAACAUACCCAAUGACUCCAUUUCUAAUUCUUCCAAACUGUAAGCAAACAUCAGUAGUACCUCGUAAGUAUCUUAAAAUCCACUGAUCUAUUUUCCAAUGUUCUUUACCGAGAUUCGCCAUGUAUCUGCUAACUGCAUUGACUGCAUAUGAUAAAUUUGGACGUGAACAAACCAUAACAUACAUGAGAGAUCCCACUGCACUAGAGUAUGGAACAUGUGACAUGUACUCUAUCUCAUCAUCUGAUUGUGGAGAUAAAACCGAUGAAAGUCUGAAAUGGGCUGCUAAAGGAGUAUUAACAGGCUUAGCACUUUACAUAUUAAACCUGCAAAGAACUUUCUCAAUGUACCCCUUUUGACUUAGGUGCAAUUUACUUACUUUCUAUCUCUGAGAAUCGCCAUACCAAGUAUCUUCUUUGUUGGUCCUAAAUCUUUCAUCUCAAAUUCUUCACUUAGUUGGGCAUUGACCUUUCUUAUCUCUCUUUUUAUCUUUUGCUGCUAUCAACAUGUCAUCAACAUAAAGGAGUAAAUACACAAAAGAACCAUCACUGUUUUUCUUAAAGUAAACACAACUGUCAGAACUACUUCUUCUAAAAUCAUGAGAAGUCAUAAAGGAAUCAAACCUCUUAUACCACUGUCUUGGUGACUAUUUCAAACCGUAAAUGGACUUUUUCAGCAAGCAAACACAGUCCUUUUUUUCUAAGACUAUAAAACCCUUUAGUUGUUGCAUAUAAAUAUCAUCCUCAAGUUCUCCAUGCAAAAAUGCAAUUUUUACAUCUAACUGCUCAAGCUCCAAAUCAUGCAUGGUCACAAUACCAAGCAAAACUCAAAUCGAACUAUGCUUAACAACUGGGGAGAACACAUCUGUGAAGUCCACUCCUGAAAUUUGACUGUAACCAUUUGCAACAAGCCUUACUUUAUAUUUGGGUUCUUCAAUUUCUGGAGUCCCUUCUUUCUUUUUAAACACUCAUUUCCAACAAAAAAUCUUUUUACCUUUAGAAAGUUUCACAAGAUCCCAUGUUCUAUUUUUGUGGAGUGAUUUCAUCUUCUCUUGCAUAGCAAACAUCCACUUUUCUGAGUCUUCACAACUAAUUGCCUCAGAUUAAUUAGAUAACUCUUAGUUUGCAUCUAUAUCUUCAACCAUAUUUAAAGCAUAAGCAACUAGAUCAACCUCGGCAUACUUCUUUGGAGGUUUAAUUUCCCUUCUAGUUUUGCUUUUGGCAAUAGAGUAUUGUGGUAAAGAAGCAACUCUAUUUUGAAUUUUUGUAUUGACUUGAGGAGUCGACUCUGUUGUAGAUUUUGGAUUAAUCUGAUGCUCCACUUGUUUUUUAUUUUCUUUAUUGAAAGAGUCUUUAAGAGAUAAGUUAGGUAGCAUAGCAGUUUCAUAAAAAAUCAAAAACAACAUCUCUGCUAAUCAUAACUUUUCUAUUUUCAGUACACAAUAACUUAUACCCUUUUACCCCAACUUUAUAACCAAGAAAAACACAUUUAAUGGAUCUCGGUUCCAAUUUUCCAUUAUCAACAUGAGCAUAUACAGGACACCCAAAGAUCUUUAAAUCAGAAUAGUCAGUAGGAUUACCAGACCAUACCUCUUGUGGAGUCUUUUUCUCAAAUGGCAACGGAUGGAGAUCGGUUGAUCAAAAAAAUACAGUAGAGGCUGCUUUGGCCCAAAACGACUUUGGUAAGUUGGCAUUUAACAACAUACAUCGAACCUUCUCCAUGAUCAUUCUGUUCAUUCAUUCUACAAUGUCGUUUUGCUGUGGAGUAUGACGAAUUGUCAAGUGUCUCACAAUCCUUUUUGACUUGCACAGUUUAUUAAACUCAUCAAAACGGAACUCUAAGCCAUUGUUUGUGCGGAGGUAUUUUAUUUGUUUUCCCGUCUAUUUUUCAAUCAUAGUUUUCCAAGACUUAAAUGCGAAAAACACAUUUCUUUUCUGCUUCAGGAAGAACGCCUAAACUUUUCUGGAAAAAUCAUCAAUAAAAGUUAGCAUAUAAUUAGCUCCACCUCUCGAAGGCACUCUAGAUGGCUCCCAAAAAUAAGAAUAAAUAUACUUCAAUGUUCCCUUCGUGUUAUGGAUUCCUCUAGUGAAUCAAACUCUCUUUUUCUUCCCAAAAACGUAGUGCUCACAGAACUUUAGUUUUCAAAUUCCUUGCCCAUCAAGAAGUCCUCUUUUGUUCAAUUCUGCCAUGCCAUUCUCACUCAUAUUCCCAAGGCGCAUAUGCCAAAGUUUAGUAAUAUCAUCAUCUGACAAGGAAGAGGAAGCGACAGUUGCAUCACCAGUAACAGUAGAACCCUGCAAAACAAAUAACUUGGCAGUCUUUCUCUACCCUUUCAUCACAACGAAUGAACCUUUGGAAAUCUUCAAAACCCCACUUUCAAUUGUGUAUCUAUACCUUUUUAAAUCAAGAGUACUCAACAAAAUUAAAUUUCUCUUCAAUUCUGGAACAUGUCGCACGUCACUAAGUGUUCUAAAAACUCCGUCAAACAUCUUAACUUUAAUCGUUCCAACACCUGCAAAUUUACACGAGGCAUUAUUUCCCAUCAAAACAACACCUUCAGACACUGUUUCGUAAGUUGUAAACCAAUCCUAAUUGGGACUCAUGUGGAAGGUGCAGCCCGAAUCAAUGAUCCACUCCUUGCCCACUUUAAAAUUGUUGACAGAAGCGACUAGAAGUUCACCAUCGUUAUAGCCUUCUACAACAUCAGCUUCACCGGAAUUUUCUGGUUAUUUUCCUUUUUGAUUUGCAGCCUCCCUUUUGAUCUUGUUCUGUAGCUUACAACACUUAGAUUUAAUGUGUCAUUUCUUCUUGCAGAAGUUACAAGUUUUACCUCUGUUUGAAGACUUCAAUUUACCCUUAGAUUUACCGCGAAGAUUCCGUUCCUGUGUCCUUCCACGAUCAUCAUCAGCAUUCUAAUCUUGUCUCCCACGAGCAAUGAGACCCUUUCCCUUAGAGUCAGGUUUAACCACAAGAUGCUUCAUUUUAUCAUACGAGGUCAAAGAAUCAUAAACCUUAUCAAUUUUGAGAGACUCGCGGUUAUAUUUAAUCGUGUCUCUAAAGGUUGAAUAAGACGGGGGAAAGGAACAAAGUAUAAUCAACCCUAGAUCUUCCUUAUCAUACUAAACCUCUAUGACCUCCAAGUUUGAGAGAAUUUCUUUAAAUACGGUUAAGUGUUCGUGUACAGACGCACCUUCCUCUAAAUGACAAGCAUAAAGACGCUACUUCAUAUGCAACUUGCUAGUUAGAGUUUUCGGCAUAUAUAUUUGUUCCAGCCUCUUCCAUAAUGCAGCGACUGUUUUCUCCUUCAUCACAUCCUGCAAAAUUUCGUUAGACAAAUGCAGAUGUAACUGUGUUAACACCUUUCGAUCCUUACGUUUCUUCUCUUCAUGCGUUAAUGUCGUUGGCAUCUUAUCUGUAAUGACUCAAAAUUCACGGGCAUCGAAAAAAUACAUUAUCGGGCCUCCGUCUUAGCAAACCGAGUCCGUAAAUAAAUAUUAAGAGUAAUUGUGAGUUUGGUAGUAUGUUUAAAUAGGCUUUAAUUAAGUGAAAUUAGCUCAACUUAGAGAAAAUAUUAAAAAAUGACUAAAUUGAAUUAGGGGUAAAAGUUUAAUUAUAGAUUAAAAUAAAAUAAAGGGGAUUAAAUAGGAAAUUAUGCCUAUAUCAUUAGGUGAGGCGGCAAAUGGGGAGAGUUUAUUAUUAUAUAAAUAUUAUUAUGGUUUUAUAUUAAAAUAGUGACAAAUGUAUGGUGGUGAUAAUAAACAUGUGUAAAAUGCAUAAAAAUACACUUUUAGUAUAUUUGUAUAUUUUCUUAAAUAAUAAGCAAAAGAUAUUUAUUAGUUAUUAUUAUAUUUUAAAAUAAAUAAAGACAAGUGUAAGGUGAUGAUAAAAUAUAAGUGUGUUAAUUAAAAUAUGUACAUUUGUAUUGAAUUUACUUAUCAUUUAAGUACUAGAUAUUUGUUAUAAUUAUAUAUUAUAUUGUUAUUAAAUUAAUAAACAAAUAUGAUACAAAGAAAGUAAAAAGGACUAAAAGGGCAAUUAAAUCAAAAAUAUAAGUUGAGACGGUUAAUCCUUAAAAAUCUGUUUUAAUAAAUAUAUUAUAUUAUUGAAUAAUAAAGAUAUUUAUUAUGUUUUAUUUUUAUAUAUUAUAUUAUUAUAUUAUAUAUAAAGUAAAGUAAAGAAAGAAAAUAGAGGAAAAAUAGAAACAGAAUAGGGGACGAAACAGAAAGCAAAGAAAAAGAGAAAAGAAAAGAAGUUUCUAAAUUGGUAAGUUAAAUUAAGUUCUUUUCUUGUAAUUUUUGAGUUUUUAUGAACCUAGAACAAAAUAUUAUCAAGUAUAUGCUGAAAAUUUUGGAAGUUAUUAGAUUUUUAACAUUAAUUUUGUUAGGUAAAAGUGUGAAUUAGAAAUUGAAUUAAUAAAAUUUCUAAUUGGAACCGGGAGAUGUAUUAAAUUGUAAAAUAAGUUAUAAAUUUUAUACAAUAAGGACCAAAAUUGUAAGAAUUUCGAAACUAGGAAUUAAUGAUAAAAAUUAGAUAGUUAAGUUUAAGUUUAGUUGAAAUUGAGUAGAAAUGAGGUAUGAAUUGAGAUAGAAAAAUAAAUGAAUCUAUUUAGGGAUUAAAUUGAAAUUGGGUUUAAAGUAAAAUAGAAAUUCAAGUAUUAGAUGAAAAAUUUAUAUUGUAUUAAUGAUUAUAGAAAUUAUCUUAAUUUUUCAUAGCUAAUAUCGCACCCGAGGCAUCCACGAAGAAAGGAAAAGAAAAAGUGGAAGAGGAGUAGACACGAGAAGCACGGUUUGUAUUACUAUAAUUCAAAUUACUUUUUAUUAAAUGCUAUAUUUUAAUUUAUAUGUAUGGUAAGUGAAAUAUAAUGUAAGUAUUAUUAUUAAGUUGAAAGAAAUUCAAUUGAAUGAAGAAUAUAUGUGUGGAAUUGAAAUGAAUAUUGACUUGAAAAUGGAAAAAGUGAAUUUUGAAUUGAAUGUGAUUGAAAGUGAAAAAGUGAAAUUGAAUUGAAAUGUGAAAUUGGAGACCCUAUUAACUAAUCAGGCUGAGUCGAAUAUAGUUGGCAAGCCAUAGGAUUGGAAGAGUUCAGGGAUACUUCGACCUCGAGUCGAUGAGACAUUGGGUGUCACUAUAUUUCUUCGAAUAGAUUCGAUGAGGUACUGGGUACCAACUUUCUUCGGCUUUGCCGAUGAGACACUAGGUGUCAACUAUUGCUUCGAACUAUCCGAUAAGGCACUGGGUGCCAUACUGGAGUGUUUGGUUGGAUCCGUGUAUCCGACAAAGUUCGAGUUUUGUUAAUAGGGUAAAUAAUGAAAUGAUAAACUGAAUGAGUUGAUCAAUCGAGCUAUUGAAAUGAAAUGAAAAGUUGAAUUGUGAAUUGAAAUGUGAUAUGAGAUUGAGAAAUGAAUCUAAGGUUCAUGAUGUGUCCAAGUUCCAAAUUGUGGAUAUAUGAUAUUAAUUGAUGAAUUGUUAUUGUUGAAAUAUGAAAUUUGAGUUUAAAUUUGUAUGUAUGAUUUUAUGCAUUACAUGUUUAUUAAUAUUAUAAUUUGAAUUAUGGUAACACCGAAAUACUCAGCGUACGGUUGUUUCCGUGUGCAGGUCAUUAGAGUUCAAGGUCCAAUUCAGCAUCCAGAAAUAUCCUAACUCUAUCAAGAAAAUUUUGGUGAUGUAUUUCUUCCUUUUGUUUAAGUGGCAUGUGCCAGGUGAUUGUACACAAGUUGUAUAUAUAUAUGUAAAUAUAUAUGCUAAAUGAUCUUGGUUGUAAGUAAAUGGUUAUAAUCUUUUGGAUGAUAAAUAAAGUUUAAAGUUAUAAAUUAGUAAACUUAGUAUUAAAUCUUGAAAUGAAAUGAAAUAUAUGAAUUAGUUUUUUUUACAUGUUAACUUUAACCUUUUAUAAUUAAAGUAGUAAAUCAAUUUAUUAAGCAUGAUUUAGUAGCGUUUUAAAGUAUAAAAUCAUUGACUGAAAUAUUGGUAUUGGUUUGUUUUUGGUUUUAAGUUUGCAGGGGGUUUUAUGUAAAAAUAAAUAAAAAUACUGUCGAAUUUUUUUUAAAAAAAAUGAAGCCAAUUAGCAUAAAUUUAUAUGAAUUUAUGAUUCUUUUAUAUAUGUUCGUUAUUUAUCUAAGAAUUAUUUAUAAAUUGUCCGAGAUGUCCAGUAAUGCCUCAUAACCCUGUUCCGGUGACGAUUUAGGGCUAGGAGUGUUACAUUAUCUAUCACUAGCAAGGCAUCCUCCAAAUCCAUCUCUAACUAAAAUUGUAUAUUCCAACUAAAUUAAUAAAUAAUGAUAUCAUAAAAUAUUUGUUUCAUUUUAUUACUAACUUAAGGUCAAUUCUUUAUUGUUUUUGAGAAAUGCUUUUGAAAAGUGCUUUUCAGAAGUACUUUUGAGAAAUACUUUUGAGAAAUUUGAGUGUUUGGCAUUGCUGUCAAAAAGUGCUUUUGAAGAAUAAAAUGUCCAUUUUAGACAUGAGAUUAUAAAGUAACAAAUAUGUAUUUAAAUAAUGUUCAAAUUAGUUAAUAUUAUGAUAUUUUAGCAAAAAUAGAAAAAAAUAAUUUAUUAUAACUUAUUGUUAAUAUUUUAAUAUAUAAUAUUAAUUUUAAAUAUUUCUAAGUAAUUAAUAUUAAUUAUUUAUAAAAUUUAAUUAGAAUAUAUAAACUAUAUUUAAAUAUUUAAAUAUAAAAAUUAAAUAUUUGUAAUUAGAUAUUGACAGGAUUGUAUUAUUAUAAAAAUUAUUUUUUAUUUUUAAUUAAUGCUUUUAACACAUUUGUAUUAUUUUAUUUUAAAAUGUAUUUGAAUAUAUAACUCAUAUUAUAUACUAACAUAACAUAGAAAACAUAAACCUAGUGAAUUAAAAUAUUACAUAUAUUUAGAUUAAAGUUUUAAAAAGGGAUAAUAUUUAUAUACUAAAUAUAAAUACUAAAAAUUUGUCAAUAGCAUUUACAAUUUAAAGUGAAUUCAUUAAACUAGAUGCUAUAUUUGAUAAGCAUAUGAAAAUGAUUUGGUUAUAUUCAAUAAAUGAUUUGGUUAAUACAAUACUUAUAUUUGAUAAGCAUAUGAAAAUGAAAGUUGAGACUGUCUGAUGAAGAACGCAAAAAAGAAUAUUUCAUGGAAAGAAGAUUGUUAGGAUGAAUUCUUCAAUUCCAAUCAUUUAAAUAACGGGUCUCAGGAACCAAGCAAUAUGCCAAAUUAGUGGACAGUCCACAUCAUUAACAUUGCAUACUGUUUUAAGAUGAACAAGAAUGGAACUAAAGUGUCUACCGAGGAGUAACAUACUGCUAUUUUUGUAAAUAAAGUACAGAAAGUGUAUAAAUAGAUGGUUGAAUAAUACAAAUCCAGAAAAGAUCAUUGCCAAUAAGCCACUAACAAAGUAGCCUCAUAAACAAAGAAAUAGUUCUUCGGUUCUGCCUAAAUUUCAUGAUAAUGACAUAAAACUACAUCAAAGAUCAGAGUCAAACUUUGUUCAUAAGAACAUAAAAUAAAUCAUUGGCAAGAAACAAUUUUGCAGCAUGUCAUAUGUGUUGAGCAUCCAAAGGAAAUAAGAAAUUGUCAGCCAGUGGCUCUCAUCUUACUCGCCAGCAUAGUAGUGUCGCCUUACUAUGGCAUCCUUAACCCCCAUAUAACAUGUAUACAAACAGCCACCCCUAGAAAGGCAAUUCCACUUCAUAUGCAGCGAAAUAAAAAUACCCUGCUUCAUACUUUUUCCUCAUUUAGCAAGAAAGUUUCUUUAAGGAUUAUGACCAAACAUAACUCCAAAGGAAUAGACAGUUUACACGAUCAUGCUUCAGCACAAGAUAAGAAAAAAGAAAAAAGAAGCACAAAAUAAAAACAAGAAAACACACGUACAUCUGCAAGUGUGAAAACCUCUCUGCUUUGGAAAGACUUGAUAAAACUCUGGCUACAGUUUAUCUUUACUGUGAUAAAAUAUUCCACAUGGUACUGCUUUCAUGGUCACUAUAAUGAAAACAUCACCAUAAAGCAAAACUAGCUGUAACAAUGUACUGUUGUGGAUUUCCAACUAUUGUUAAAGAUGAUUGAUCAUUUACAAAGCAUAUAAUCACUCAUAACAUGUGCCAAGAAACACCAGCUGAUCUUUAGAACAACAUGUAAAGCCAUCAAUUACUCUAGCACACAAGAUCAUUUAUCAUACAUUUUCAGGAUUAACGUAAAAGUAUCGUGUCUACUAGUUUGAGGAAUUGAGAUGCGCACUGGGGGAAUCAGUUGAUAAGUGGAAGAUAGUGAUCGGGCAUCAUCCUAUUAGAAGCAUCGGGCACCAUGAACUACCUCUACCUAAUUAAGGUAUAAUUUGCUGUCAAAGCUGGGUUCUAGAUCACUCCGCUCUAUAUAUUAUCCACACAAAAUAUGACCAGUUAUUUCCUGCACUUGUGAUUGUUCCAAUGCCCAAGGAAAAUAAAACAGAGGUUAUGCAAAAGUUAACUUCCCUUUUUUUUCACGUAGAGUAGGUUUUCCCUCAAUGUAGAGGCCUUAUAAGUUGCCUAGGUACUUCCCAGAUCGCGAGUACUGAUAGAUAUUGGGUCUAUCCAUCGGCCUUCUCUAAUAGGGCACUCAACCAUCCCAUGGUCAAGUGCGCAAGAAAAAAACUAAAGCAAAAACUAAAGCAAAAACUAAAGCUGAUAUACUUGAAUGCUUUUCAUAUAAAUUAAAAAAAAAAAACAAGAUGAAACAAAAAACAGAUCACAUCGAAUCCAUCAAAGAAUUUCCUAUAAAAUUUAAGCUUGCCAAACCUAUAAAAUAUCUAACAAAGAAAAUUAAAGUAAAGAAUCAGAAAACAAGAUGCCAUGUUCAACCGAUUCAACUCAACCGCAAUUAAAAAUCGCUAAAGCAAUGGAUUACCAUGACGAGUAUAUGCAAACGAUCUCUCUACAACUCAUCCGAGCCACAACCAAGUCGAUGAAAGUCUGACUCGACGAGUCAGAUUGGAACCAAAAACAACUGAACUGGAAACUCAAUAGCUGUAAUGAGAAAACUUUUGAAUUGAAGAAACUAAAAACACAAAAUUAUGACGAUAAACAAUAAGAAAACAAAGCUUUCUUCUCACGAUUUUUCCCUUUUUUAUUUAACUUAUCAAAUGAAAAAUAAAAAUUCAGAACAUUUCUACCCUCUGAGAACAUUUUGAGGCUAUUAAUUUCUAGCCUCAAAAACCAAUACAGAGAAAAUACUAAACAAAAAAUGGACAGGUGGCAAAAGCCGCAGAUCAAACCGCAAAUGAAGAAAUUCGAAACAGAUCUGUUACAUUGGGGGAAGAAAAUAUAUGUACCUCUUGCUCCGAUAAAGUGCAAGUCAGCUGCGAUAUCCGUUCGUCCAGGUUCCAAUACGAGUUCGAACCCACAGAAAACCACGGCGAUAAUCGACGGAGAGGAAUGAAGGAAUGAAGGAGGAGAGUGGGGGAUUACUGGAAAAUCGAUAAUCUCAGGGAAAUUUUCUAACAGAAAUGAAGGAAUGAAGGAAGAGAGACUGGGCGUGAAAGUGCAGAGGAGAAAGUUUGUGGGAGAAGACGACAGGUUAAUUUGGUCAAUUUUCAGCCAAAAUCACUUCAAGCUGAAGAAAAGGAGAAAUUUUUAGCUUGUCAUAUGGAGAGAAGUACUUUUCUGAUGGUGAAAUAAUCUGGAGAGAAGGAGGCUGUUCUUCAUUUCUUUUAAGGGAAAAGGAAAAGUCCUUCUAAAACGGGCAGAAGAAUGGGGCCUUAAUAACAUAGGAUAAAAAGCUUAUUUAGUAACAGAAGCUUAUCCUAACACCUCAAUUUGUUAUUUAAAAACUGCUCAAUUCAAUAUCACGUCUUUAAAUCAUAUCUGUUGUUUGAGUUAGAUAUUUAAACUAUUUUUUUUAUCAAAUCAAGUAUCUAAAUUUUAUUGCGUAACAGAAGUUGGCUCUUACCAUUAAAAAAAUGUCUCAAUAAAUAAAAAAAUGUCACACCACCACCGCAUUAAAAUAUAAUUAAAUAAAAAUAAUUAUAUUAAUAUUAUAUAAAAUAAAAUAAAAACCCCUUCCCCCACUCUCAUCCCUCUCCUCUUCCACGGUCCCCCCCUCCCUACCGUCCUGUCCCUUUAUGGUUUUAUCUUCUUUGUAAUGGGUGGUGGUUUUUUAACAUCUUGGUAAUUGAAUCAUCUCCGUUAUUUGCUUUGAUGGGUCGUAAGGCUUUUUACCAUUGUGGGUUUUCUUUUUCUUUGAUUUUUUUUUUUGUGUGUGUUUUUUUGGGGGUUUUUUUUUAAAAAAAACUUAUUGUCUUUGCUUCAAUGGAAGUAGUAGAUCGGUGGGAUUGACUUAUUUUCUACAUAGAGAUGAAGGGUAGGGGGGAGAGAAUAUUUUUUCAUAUUAAUAUAAUUAUUUUUAAUUAAUAUUAAUAUAAUUUUUAUUUAAUUAUAUUUUAAUAUUGUGGCAUGACGAUUUCUGAUUGGCUGUAACUUUUUGUAAUAAAGCGUAACGACAAGAUUAAUUUUGGUUAUAGAGUAAAAUUUAGAUACUUAACUUAAAUAAAGAACAUAAUUUAAGGAUCUCAUGUUGAAUUAAACUUUUAAAAAACAAAAGUAAAAUAUAAAAAAAAUCAAUUAAACCACACCCAAUUGAGCCAUUGUUAUUAACUUAAAAAACUAUUUAAGCCUCUCUCAAUAGUUGACAGUAAAAUAAACUAAUAGGCUAAUAAGACGAUAAUAAGUGGUCGUCCUAGAUUUAGGGUGGGUUUGGAUGGGCGAUUGUGUGCGUUGCGGUGCGUUUAGUUACUUUUUGUCUCACGCAACAGUGUUGUUAUAGUAUUUAAUCUCACCGCCACCGCUGUUUUUACACUAACCGCAGGUAAACGUACCGCCCAUCCAAACUCAAUCUUAAUCUUACAUUGUUAAUAAGACUAUAAAAAUUCAUUAAAAAUAUAAAAAAAAAUAUAAAAUUGUAAAAAUCAUAACAAGUUAUUGCAAAUAUAAAAUUUAUAAAAGAAAUACUACAAAAAUUAAGAAAAUAUAUAUAAACCAUAAAAAAAUUAUGAAAAAAAAAAUAAAACUCUUGUAUUUAAAAAUAACAAGUUAUAAAAAUAUAUUAAGAACUUCUAAGAAAAAAUAAAGUUUUGUUUAAUUAUUUUUCCUUUGGCCGAAUUGAUCCUCUAGUUAGUUUGGUCAACACCUGAACGACGUCGUUGCUCGAUCCUUUAUAUUCCUCUUCCUCGUUAAUAAUCUGACUCUAUCGACGGUGUCUCCUUGAAUUCUUAAAAAUUGCCUGAAAUCUCAGGUAAUCUAAAUCUUCCUGCAAAUUCACUCGUUUUCACCUUUCUAAGCAUCCAAAUAGGGAGCUACUACCACUAGUCGAUCUGGGUUUUCUUUCUUCUUUCUCAAUUUAGUUAAAGAAUCUAAAUAUGACAAUCAUUUGACCUAUUUCUUCUCUUUGUUAGGGUUUUAUAUUUUUGAUCAUUCAAAUUUACGUCCAUUUAUUUUGAAUAGUAAUUAUUUUCUAUUGCAGUUUCUUAAAAAAAAUGGAGGAAAUAUUAGCUUUGUUUCUUUCAAUGUUUCUCGUUCUAGCGUUGGUUCCGUUAUAUAUAUGGAAACGCCGUCAGGAUACUCGACCAACCGUUGAACAUGUUGAAGAACGGCAGGUAUGUUUGAAGUUAUUCUAAAAGUCUUAAAUUUGUUUUUAGUUCUGUGUUUUUCUUUAUAUUGGUUGGUGUGGGUUAUAGGCUCCAAGAAGGGAAAAUGUAGUACGUGGUGGGGCCGGUGCUCGUAGUAGGAUGCGGAGGAGACCAACUGCAGGAGGAGCUAGCUCGUCGUCAGCUGCAACUGCUGAAGGUUUGUGAAUUGGAUAGAAUUCUGAAGUUCGAAUUAUUGUUGAGAAUUUAACAAAUUUACUGAUUAAUGACCAUUGGGACUUUCCUGCCAUAGUUGUGAAUUCCGUGUGUGAAAUAAGUAUAGGAGACUAUAUAAAUUUGCCAGGAUGUUAUUGUUUCUGCCAAUUAGUGUAUUAAUUUUCAAAUAGUGGUAUGUUUUCUCUGACUGAUGCUUUAUAGGGACUGUUUAUAAGUGGACUAAGGACAUAGCCAGCAGUGACUUAUUUUUUAUGAUCUGAUGAGUUCUUUGUGAGGACUGAGAGUAAGCGUUGGUUCUUUUGUGAAUACAAACUGAAUUUAAACGCUUUAUGUUGUUGAAAAGUCGUUGCGGUCAUGUAAACGCUUCUUAGUAAGCCCAGGAUCCUUUUCUUCUCUUUGGGAAGGUGCCAAAGGAUGCAACUGAAUUUAACUCGUAGGACAGUCUAGUCUUCUUAUGCUCUUUUCUCUUCUUGGGGUUAGUGGCACUGGUUUUGAGCAUUUUGUGUACCGAAAUGUGAAUGCAGAAACUGCUGAUGGAAGUGAGGAAGAAGAGGAAGGAGAUGGAUAUUAUGAGGCUAAAGCAUCAAAGAAGAAGGAAAAGAAACGGCAAGAAAGGGAUGCGCAACGAAGGGUACAUCAUUAUCAUCUUAUUGUUUACUUAUCUAUUUUCUGUUUUACUCGGGCUCUUGGCCACUGUUCACUAAGUUCAUAUGAUUUUUGGUCAAGGCUGAAGAGGCUGCUCGUGAGUCAAGGCAGACUAAACAGGAUCGAUAUGCUGAAAUGCGGAGGAAAAAGGAUGAGGAGCGUGAGGCAGAGGAACGUAGGCUGGUCUGUUGGUUGCCUUCAUCUUUGUAGCAUGAUGCAUGCAGAAUCCAAACACAUGACCCCUUGCAUAUAUGAUUUUCUGGUUCACUACAUUUGCUAUGGUUUAUGCAGGAAGAAGAAGCUCAAGCUCGAAAGGCCAAGGAGGAAGAAGCUGCUGCCUUGGAGUUUGAAAAGUGGAAAGGAGCAUUUUCUGUUGAUGCUGAAGGAACAACAGAGAACGAAUUCCAAGAUGGAAGUCAGGAUUUGCUUUCUAAUUUUGUGGAAUACAUUAAGGUACGUUUGAGCCCGGUAUCUAAGCUAGUUAGCCAUCCUAAUUUUGUUUUUGAUGAAUGCUCAAAAUGUUUCUUUGGCUGUUCUUCAGUCUUCUAGAUCUCUUCCUUCUGGUCUUUUUUCAUUGACAAAUAAAUAAAUUAUCAAAUGUGUAUAUCUGUUUCAUGGAACAUAAUAAGCAUUUUCAAAUUACACGAGCUGCAUAAUGAUUGAAUGAGCAUCAGUCCACUUUAUAAUUUUAUAUUUUUGUGUUGCCUUUUGUUUUUUUAACCUAUUUGUAUAUGAUCGUGCAGAAUCAUAAAUGUAUUCCUUUGGAAGAUCUUGCUGGAGAAUUCAAAUUGAGAACCCAGGUAUAUGAUCUUAAUAGCUAAGUAAAACCCUUUCAUAUGUGUACUUUCAGCCUCUUGAUAUAUUGUAAAACCCAUCAACGGAAUGUGUGUUGCUGUUUUUUUUUUUUUUAAAUCCUAUCCCCUUUUGCUUCUAUAUUUAAAGUACAAUGAUUGUUUGAUGCAGGAAUGUAUCAAUAGGAUCACCUCCCUUGAAAGUAUGGGUAUGUAACUAUUAUCUAUUAUCAAUUCGGGUACUGAUUUUAGGAAAUGGAUAAUCAAAAUGCUUGUCAUCUACAAUGUAAUGAUUUAUGCAACGAUCCUUUAUUUGGUGUGUGUGCAGGGCGACUUUCAGGUGUCAUGGAUGAUAGAGGGAAGUAUAUAUACAUCUCAAUGGAGGAGAUGAAGGCUGUAGCUGACUAUAUCAAGCGUCAAGGAAGAGUAAGCAUUUCACAUUUAGCUAGCAAAUCUAAUCAGUUCAUUGAUCUAGAGCCGAAAGUUCAAUUUACAGAGGAGAUCAGCACAGCAGAGGAAAUCACUGUUGCUUGAUUCAAUUGUACACUCUUCCCUUCUCAAGAAUAUGUAGGACAAGUUACACUGAGGAAAAAAAUAUAGCAAUUGCAUCAUGAAAGAUGCCAGUUUGAAGGAUUUUGUUUAUACUUUUUUACAUGUUUGUGGCAUAAAGUCUAGUUGUGUUUCAGUUUAGAAAUCUAAUUUUCUUGGCCUGUAAGGAUGGAUGAGUUUUGUGGUGCUGUAAUACUACAAGUCAUGCAAACUAUCAUUAGUUGACUGUAAGAUAGGUAUUAGCAUAAACAUGAAAAUUUCAAUGAUUUUACUUUAAGAUAACUUGAACUGAAAUGAACUUAUGGCGUUGUAUUUCAUGAAGAUCAUGCAUUAGAAUUUAGAAUCAAUAUGGAAAUUGGCAUCAUUUGAAUUUGUGAUCACUUUAAUUGAGAUGAUGAAUUAUCUGUAAAUUUUUUGUUUAAUAUUUAUCUCCUAUUGGGUUGAACGGAUAACCUUUGGACCAUUAGCAUGCAUGAAGAAGGAAAUUAGUAUGAGAACUACAAUUAAUGAUCAUUAUAGUGAACGUAGAGGGUUCUUUCCUUUAGGUAAAGAGACAAACUAGUAAACAUGAAGAGAUGACGGAGAGACCUUAGAAAACAAGUGCAGAGAUAGAGAUAGGUGAAUGUGAUGUAAAUGAUAUAUAAAUAGCAAGGGAUGGUGAAAGCUCUAGCUGUUGCAUAGAAAAUUUUUUAAUUUUUAAAGUUUAUCAAAACAACUUGAAGAAAACGUUUAAAACUCCAUUUACAGUCUCAUUAGAAAGUUAUUAAAGAGUGAAUGUGUUGCAAAUAAUACAUAGUGGAAGAACAUUACAUGGAAUGGGAGAGAGGGAAGUUAUAAACAUUACAUGGAAUGGUAAAGAGUACACCAUUUACUGCGCGGACUGCGGAUCUAAGUCCAAAUGAGGUGCAUUUGAUCCACUUGAAUUGGCUCGAGUCAUGAAAUAUGUACAGAAGUCUAUUGAUUAAUUCGAUAUGUACCGUUGAAUCUGGAGGACCUCAACUAUAAAUAGAGACUUUCACAUAAUUUGGAAUCACUCAGUCUUAAUCUUUUAAAGUAAUAGAAUACUUUUGAGAGGAUUUACUCAAACACUUAGUAUGCAUUACUUUUCUGUAGAUUUUAUGUUCAAUCGUGGUUAAAUUUGUGAAUUCUUUGAAAAUUCUCUAAAAAAUUAUCAAAAAUAUCUUAAUAUAAAUUAUCAAAAUAUAUAUUCGUGAUUAUUAAACAAAAAUAAAUCUGGAAAGUAAUUUACCCAUUGGGAUGGAUUCUAGCAUUAAAAGAAAAGGUAAAUAACGGGAAAAACUGAAACGAGUCAACUUACUAAUAACAAACUUGGAACAAAAAUAUCUUAAUAUUAAAACCCAACUUGAUUCCGACCAAAGACGACAACCGGUCGUGCCCGAAAAGUCGUCGUUUUAACCUGUUUUUUUUUAACUUUUGUUGUCAGAAAUUGUACUCCACUGUAGUGCUCCCUCCUUUAUUCUCAUUGACCCACACACAGCUCCAUCGAGCGCCACGUGUAUGUUUACACCAUCCCAAUCGAGUACAUUUUGUCACACGCCCAUGAAUCUCAUUCACCAUAACUUGCGUACAACCUCCGAAAAUUCCAAAAAGAGUUUUAAUUAGUAAAUUAAUUUCUAAGCCUUUCCUUUCAAUUUCCAAAAACCAAAAAUUGAACUCCACUCCGACAACACACACAAUCGCCUCUCACAUUUCUGCUUAUUUUUAGGGUUCAUUUUUUCUUCUUUUAAUAACCUAAAUUUCAUUUCUCCAUCCCAAAAAUCCUUGGAUCAGGUAACUUUUCCCAUAAAGCUCCUUCAGUUUUUUCCUUUAAAUGUUUUUGCGGGUUAAAAAUCAAAUUUUUUUACCGUCCAUUUGUUCAUCUAAAACUUUUUUGAUCCUGGGUUUUUUCUAAUAUUAAUAAAAAAUCUUUAUAUUUGCUUCAAAUUAAAAAUCUCUUCUGCAUGAAGAAAAGCAGCAAAAUUAUGAUUGUUACUUUUCCGGGAAUCUUGUUGUUCAUUCUUGUUUGAAGAUUAGAUUAGAUUGAAAAUAUUAAUCUAAAAUUCUGAUUCUUUCCUUGUUUGGUUGGUUUGAUAAUGUGGUGCUUAGAAUUAAUAAUAAUGAUGUUUUUGGAAUGAAGUUGUAGCUAAUGUUAGCCUUUGUGGGGGUAAAAUUUUGCAUUUUCUUAUAUCAUUGAGUAAGUAGAAGAGCAAAUAGGAAUUGGAACCCUGGGAAUUGAAUCUUCCUUAGAGAGGGUAUAUAACACAUGUUAGGACAAACCUGCGUUAAUGAUGAUUGUGGUCAAGUUUGAAUCUUGUCAUGACUAGAUGUUGCUUGUUUUUGGCUUAGCCUAUGGUUUUGAUUUUUCCAUGUUCAGCUACUUAUUUUCUCACUUUCACCCUAAAAUUUUAACACUUUGGUUUUUAACCUUGAAAGUCUAAUCAAAUUGCUUUGCUUUUAAUGGAAAAGCUUAUUGAACCGUUAAAAUUUUAAUAGUCUUAAUGUGACAGGCUGCAUGGCGGUCCACAUGUGCUUAUAUUGUUAACAUGGAUAAUUUUUGUAUAUAUUUUUUAUUAAUUUUGAAAUUCUACUUAUUAAGUAUAGGUGGAUUGCCGCGAGAAUUGUCAGGUCAAUGCCGUUAAAAUUUUAUUGGUUCAAUUACUUUUUUCCGUCUAAUAGAAAGUAAUUUGACUAAAUUUUAAAGGUUGAAGGCCAAAGUGAUAGGAAAAUAUUUAGGGUCACGAUAAACAUUGUCUUUUUCAUUAACUUUUGAUCUUCACUUUUCUUUUCUUUUGUAAUAUAUGAUAUGAUGUUGAUCUGAUGUGGGUAUUGCUUUGCUAUUUUAGGUCCGAGCUUGUGGUUGUUAGGCCUCUUUGAUCAACUAAGUUUCAUGUCUGAUCUCGACGUCCAAAUUCCCACUGCCUUUGGUAUACUUGGAUCCUAACCUCCUCAAUUCAGUUAUUUUCAUCGUUGUUGACGGAUUUAACUUUUCAUUCGUAAUUGUCUUGAUAGAUCCCUUUGCCGAUGCAAAUGCUGAGGACUCAGGUGCUGGUGCAAAGGACUAUGUGCACAUUCGUGUUCAGCAACGGAACGGUAGGAAAAGCCUGACAACUGUCCAGGGGUUGAAGAAAGAAUUCAGCUACAACAAGAUACUCAAAGACCUCAAAAAGGAGUUCUGCUGCAAUGGCACCGUGGUCCAAGACCCUGAAUUAGGCCAGGUGCGUGUAACUAUUACCCCUUUUAAGUCUUGUUAAUUAGUCCGAUGGUCAAUUCUUUUACGUUUUCCAUUCGUGUUCAGGUUAUUCAACUUCAAGGUGACCAGCGUAAGAACGUAUCUACCUUCCUUGUUCAGGUAAUUGUUAUCGCUUUGUGGAAUAUUUAAAUUUCUUAGGUGACCUUAAGCGGAAGUGCACCGAUGCAGUUUCUUUGUGUUUCUGAGCAGGCUGGCAUUGUGAGGAAGGAAAACAUCAAAAUCCAUGGUUUCUAAGUUGCACAUGCUUAAAGUUUUUGGCUAGGUUCACUCGCCUCCUAUUGAAGUAGGAAAUACUACCUGAUUUGGGAUAUAUACAUAUCCAUAGUUGUUACACCUUUAUGUUGAUUUAAUUACAACAUAUAUGCAUCUCGUAUUUCGUGUACUUUCCGGUUUGCCGGAAUCUGUAGUAUUGGUUGAUUAUGAACUCUAUGGAAGUUUGUUGCUCUGUGAUUUAAAGUUAAAACAAGUAUAGUUUUAGUCAUUCGAAUACCAUCUUUUGCAUUUGGAUUUCAUUACACCAGAAUAAGCAUCAAAGUUGUCACUUCUUAUGCUAAUUGGGAUUUCAUGUUUUUCUUCAAUUCAAUAAAAAGCAACCCAUUAUUCAGCUUUAAUGUGGGACACUUUGGAGCUAUUGUAAAGAGGGAGGCAAAAUUUCCAUCACCCUAUGUAUUUUGGGGACCUACCUUAUUGAGUAAUUGUAUUGGUCCCAAAGUACAAUAAUACUUUCUUGAUAUUUAUUUAUUUCCAUAGGAACCGAGUUAAAGAUUCUUUUUCCCAAAAGUUCUUAAUGAUUUCAAUUUUUUCCUACAAUAAUAUGCUUCAUAAUAUAAUUAGUAUAAUGACAAACUUUUUCUUUUCUACUUGAAGACUAGUUGGGAAUGUGCCCACCUUUGUUGCAAAAUGAUGUCGUUUUUUCUCUAUUUUUCCUUGAAAAAGAUCAAAUUUCAAUUUCACCCAACGGCUGUGCUUUUAUGUGCUGGAACACUAAAGAAGUUGUAAUGUAUCCUCUUUUGGUUGGUGUACGCUACGCAACAACACCAAACUGUCUACACGUCUUACUUAUCUUUUAAAUUCAGUUUAUCCCAUUCACAAUAAUUGCAGCCUCACUAUUUUACAUUUAUUACGGCCUUUCCUGAUUAAAGUUGUUAACACUUAAUUGAUAAGUGGAAUCAUAGAAGAUAUUUGAACAAGAUAAAAACUCUUAAUUUUCUAUCAUGGUAAAUGUACUCAACAAUAGUUGGAAAAAACGGGUUUUGAAAAAUUAUUUUGGUUGUGAUAUCUGUUGACACCAUUUUUUGGAUGAAAAACGGGGUUGACUCGGGUUUUGAAAAAUGAAACGGGAGUAGCCACCAAUCCUUUUUUAUGAGGUGUGAUUGGACC
rnacentral:lncRNA from 1 species